ACAACAACAACAACAACAACCGUUGAGCCAGGUCUCCUUCCAGCAGCCUCAGCAACAAUAUCCAUCAGGCCAGGGCUCCUUCCAGCCAUCUCAGCAAAACCCACAGGCCCAGGGCUCUUUCCAGCCUCAACAACUGCCCCAGUUUGAGGAAAUAAGGAACCUAGCGCUACAGACGCUACUUGCAAUGUGCGAUGUCUAUAUCCCUCCAUAUUGCACCAUUGCUCCAUUUGGCAUCUUUGGUACUAACUGAGAAGAGAAGAACUCUAGUAGUAGAUAUAUGAUACACCGUUUUCUUAGUCCAUGGUUUGGUCGUUGUAGCGGUGAAAAAAUAAAGUGACAUGCACUAUCAUGUAAGAACCCGAACUAUACUAGUUCAAACUUGGGAAUAAAAGACAAACACAGGUCUUGUCUACAUAUGAUUGUUUGUUUGAGUUCCACUCAUGUGCCCAUUCACAAGUUCACCCCUAAUUAUAUAUAUUAUGCAUUAAGUAGAUAUUUAUGUUGCAUUAAUCUAAAGAUAACAAAAUGAGUCUGAAAUUUGAAUUAAAUUGAAGUAUUUCCUUGGACUUUCAAAUGGAGUAUUAUUAAAGUAGUAAGGACUAUCCUCAUCCUUGGCUUGCCCUUGAUCAAUUAUUUCCAGAGAAGCAUUCAAUUCGUCAAUCAAUUACAUUGAUUUUUGCAGCCGGUACUUCUCCUCAACAUGAGUAUAUUCAUCGCGGCUACUCCAAAUCGGCAUGAAUGAGGUACCGGUGCUCUGGAGCACUAGUACCUAACAGCUUCUCAUGUGAAGGGGUGCGGGCACGGGAGAGGUGUUUUUGGUGGGCCAGGGGAGUAAGAAGCGGCCGUGGCAGCGGUGCAGACACCCACAAAGCCCCGUAGUUUGUUUUUCGUUUACAGGAAAAUGCACAUCCAGACCGGCCUGCGGGCCGAUAUAGGACCGUAUUGGAUGGCAAAACAUGUCCGGAUGGUUGCGAGCGGUUUGAGGGUUAGCUUUUGUAACGCCCGGUUAGUUAUGCUAUUGUAAUUCCCUGCUAAUGAUGUCACGUAACCACGAUUACUAUUGUUAACCUCACAAUGAUUCAAUCCCAUUCAAAUUCAAAUUUAAAAUAAAGGCAAACAUCAAAAUUUCCAAACAUUAAAACUUAAAUCUUCGAGAGGUGGAAAAUAAUGCAUAAGUAAUUAUGGUGGAGAAACCACACUUUUAUAAAAUGUUUAAAUACUGUAAAAGAAUAAACAGUGGCUUAAACUAUUAUUUAAAUCCUUUUAAAAUAGUAAAAAUGUUCUAACUAAAUUAAUUGGGUACCAAACUUUUGGUGGCAGUGGUAUAUUUAGUAGAACUAAUUUAGAUGCUAAUUAUAUAAUUUACAAAAUUAAAGUAAAUUGAAAAAUAGGAUAAAACAUAAAAGGAAAGACAAAAUAAAUAAAAGCAAAAGGGGGCAACCCCUCGCUGGGCCUCGGCCUAACUGGCCACUGGGCUAGCUAGGCCGGCCCAGCCGCCUCCCUUAACCCCCCACUCCCCAUCGAACCCUGGCCCGAUCGCCCCACUUCCCCCACACCCCGUCGUCAGCCUCCCCACCUGUCGAUCCCAUCUGGAUCGGGGAGGGGAUCGCCCCCAUCAACCCCGUCGCCGUCUCCGGAUCGCCCGCUCGCCCAUCGCCCGCCGGAGUCGCCGGGCCUCCUCCCUGCCGCCCGUCUCCGGCUCGCCUCCUCUCUCGCUCCUCUUCCCUGACCCAAUCUGGAUCGGGAAGGGGCAAUGCGCCCGACGCCCCCCUUCACCGACGCCGUGCGCCAACACCGCCGCCCGAAGACCUCGCCGUCACCGGACCUCGCGUCGCCUCCUCGUAUCCCUCCCCGCCUCGCCUCAAGCCAUGACGACCCCCUUCUCGGCAACGCUGUGAGCCGCCCCCGUUUCCCUCCUCCUCUUUCCACCGCGUUCACAGCGUCGCCCGCCGUGCCCCUCGCCGCGCGCUCGCCCACCACCGCGCCAGCCCCGGUCCGCGCCCUCUCCUGCAUGCUUGCGUGCGCAUGACCCUAGCCGCGCCUGCGCCGUGAUCCCCUUAUCCNNNNNNNNNNNNNNNNNNNNNNNNNNNNNNNNNNNNNNNNNNNNNNNNNNNNNNNNNNNNNNNNNNNNNNNNNNNNNNNNNNNNNNNNNNNNNNNNNNNNNNNNNNNNNNNNNNNNNNNNNNNNNNNNNNNNNNNNNNNNNNNNNNNNNNNNNNNNNNNNNNNNNNNNNNNNNNNNNNNNNNNNNNNNNNNNNNNNNNNNNNNNNNNNNNNNNNNNNNNNNNNNNNNNNNNNNNNNNNNNNNNNNNNNNNNNNNNNNNNNNNNNNNNNNNNNNNNNNNNNNNNNNNNNNNNNNNNNNNNNNNNNNNNNNNNNNNNNNNNNNNNNNNNNNNNNNNNNNNNNNNNNNNNNNNNNNNNNNNNNNNNNNNNNNNNNNNNNNNNNNNNNNNNNNNNNNNNNNNNNNNNNNNNNNNNNNNNNNNNNNNNNNNNNNNNNNNNNNNNNNNNNNNNNNNNNNACCAAGACCCACAUCCCCUAAUUAACCAUUUAAUAAAUUUAAACUCUUAAAUUAACAUUAGUGUAUGACAUGUGGGUCCCCUAUUAAUUAAACUAAUUUAAUUAAAAUCUAUUAACUUCAAGUCUAUGACAUAUGGGCCCCACUGAACAUUUGACCAGUCAACGGUCCAGUCAAAUGUUGACCGGAUAGUUGACCAGAGGGCCCCACCAGUCAGCCUCUGUGCUGUUCUCCUGGGUACCUUUCUGAGUACACCUAGCAUUUUGCAUUUACAAUAUUUGUUUUAAAAUAAAUUAGAAUAAUUUCAAAAAAAUGAUUGAAACUUUUAAAAUUAAAAAAAAUUAUCCGUAACUCGGAUGAAAUUACUUUAUACAUGGAAGUUGCUCAAAAAAUGAGACGAAUCCUAAUACACAGUCCGUUCUUCUGCCACACGUCCCUAGCAUAGCGAACAUGCAACCACCCCCCUCCGGUUCGACUGUCCGAAAAUGUCAAACACCGGGAAUACUUUUCCGGAUGUUUCCCCUUCACUAGUAGCACCUAGUACCGCGUGAGGCAUACCUAGCACCACUUAUUGUAAUGUCAUGCAUCGUCAUGCAUCUGUUUGCAUUGUAUUCAUUGUUUCUUGCUCCUCUUCUCUCCGGUAGACUACGAGACUGACGCCGGUGCUGCCCCGGUCGAUUACGGUGUCCAUGACCCCUCCUUGUCAGCAGAGCUUCCAGGCAAGCAAACCCCCUUGAUCAUCCCGAUAUCGCCUACUCUUUCCUCUACUGCUUGCAUUAGAGUAUUGUUACUGUUUGUCGGUUUGAUCCUAUACUGCUGCAUGGCCUGUCUUUGAUACUACUUAUGUGUUAUUUGUUAGUACGCUUGGAGAAAAUGCCUUUGAUUAGGGCAUCUUCAACAGCGACCAGUAAAUUUCCUCCCGCGUUCGUCCACGAAUAGGGGAUCAGUCCGCGGACACGGAUACAGGAAUUGGCCAUCCAACAAUGUCCGCAUAUAUUUAAAACACUUAAAAAAUAGGAUGAAAUUCAUGCAAACACAGUGGAUUUCAUACAAACCGGACAAAAAUGUUUACAUUUUGGACAUUUUUUUUUUACUAAAAACUCUACAGCCGGUGCCGGCGAAUAUCCACUCCGGCAACAUGGAUACCCUUGACUAGUCUACUGCCGGCCGCAGCAGAUCUCCAAUGUCGUCCCCAUGUUCGGCAGCUGUGAGCCCUAGAGGUAUAUGCUUCAGCGCAAAGAGCGGCUCGCCUCCUACCGCUCAUCGGAGUGGAACAACCAGUUGAUGCUUCUGCCGAUGGGGAAGGGUCCCUACGCUACACGAAUUAGAGUUGGUUUUGGGUUGGGGGAACGGCGGUGGCCUGUCAGAGGGCAAGACACCGACUGUGUACGCUGGUGUCACCUGGUGUGGCAUUCAUGGGACCCAAGCGGCAGCGCCUCCUCAAUGAUGGCAGCGAGCGCGGACGUGUUGGACACCACCUCGUCGAUGUCCGUGCAGCCCGCUUCUUUCUCUGUAGGAAGGACGCGGUUACGCUCGCGUUGACAUCGGAUGACUCGGUCACAUGCACGAGAGGGGCGGUACAACAUGGCACCGUCAAUGGCAGCCAUGAUGCCCGCGCCACCGUGGUCCCUCCCAGUGCCGACCUGGAGCAACUUGCCACUCCUCGGCUCGUGACCGGCGGGCUUUACGGGCCACCUAGCCAUUUUUUAUGCCAGCCAACUCUUCUUCCUGCUCGUCAGAUGUCAUGGAGAAAACUGUUCAAGGAGGAAAAUGAUGAGUGGACGUGUGAUGCGCUUCUUGCCCAACAUCUGACAUUGUUUAAAUAGCGAGGGGACACGAGAGGAGCCAACCGGCGUUCUGUUCAAUGCCAACUGGCUCGCGAACGAACAUGUGGCCGGAGUAAUUAUCCUGGCACACACGCGGGUUUAAUGGUGGAAGGCGGGCAGUCUGCAGGAAUGAGGUGAGGAUGCGUGUUUAGCCGGCGUGCAGCGGGCAGCGCCCUCGGCCGGCGUGCUGCUUCCAUUGCGGAGGUAGUGAGAGGUCGCGUCCGCUCUGCAGCGCAUGAAUGCGGGCAGCUGGCGCAGAGCGGGAACGCGUGCAUGGUUUGGGUGGGCACGGGUGGUGAGAAGAGGUCAUGGGUGUUGUCCGAACGCCUGGAAAGCCCCCCCUCCAUGUUUGUCUCCGGUUUACGGGAGAAAGUACGUCCGGACCGUUUGAUGGACCAAUACAGGCCCGCAUUGGAUGGCACAACACGUCCGGACCAUGUGGUCCGGAUGGUUGUGGACGGUUUAAUUGAGGGUCGACGUUGGAGAUGCCUUAGAGUUUAUGAAUCCAUUGUGUUUUUUAAUCAUAAAAAGCACUUAUAACAAGUUAUAAGGAAAGACACGUUUAUAUGUUAGGUUCGGACUCCAGCUUUCCUCUUACAUAUGCUUUAUUGUGAUCCGACUGAUUCCAAUAGAGUGAGCCUAGCGUUGUUUUUCUGGAAACUUGCGGGAUAAGGAGACAUGCAUACACAUUCAUUCAAGCAAAUCACAUCCAUUCUUUUUAACUCAUUUUUCUUCUUUUAAUAAUAUAAUAGAUCAUUUAUAUUUUUAUCUCAAACAGUUGACGUGUAAUUUAUACUGUAAUCUGAGGAUAAUGUUUGGAUUUACUUUCAAAUAUAUUUGAAAUGGCCAUGAUGGAAUCACAUCCAUUUAUUUUAUUAUUAUUUGAAUUUGAUCCAAAAGAUAAAUAAUGAGUAGAGGUCAUGUCAACUUUUCUGAGAACUUUGCUAAUCAAAAUAUAAUUUGUAUUUAAAAACAUCUUUUUAGCACGCAUGAAAAACAUAACGCCUAUCUUUUCACACAUGAUGAACGGUUGUCAUAAGAACUCAUGGCAUGCCACAAGCUCCCUCCGACCCUGCCAACAUUGUUACAGCUGCACUCGCAAGCUUUAUCGUAGAUGAUCAUUUAUACGAUUUGCGUAAAUCAAAAUAAGAUCUACAAACGAAUAGAAGCUAGAACGUACCUUGGCAUGCACACACAUUGCAAGCCAUACUAAGCUGAUAAGUGUUAAUAACUUCUACAACAUAUACAACACUUAAGACAAGUAAAAGCAAUUUGAUGAGUCAUGGUCUAUCAAAGGCACAUUACUAGUCUAAUCCAUCUUAACAGGUCACACAUGAUUAAAACCUUGUUUGUGUGCAAGUCAAGCUUAUCUAGUUUACAUGUAACAACUUGUAGAACAUUACAAAAUUUAUGUUUGCUAAUAACCUCUAGAACACUACAACACUUGACAUGUAAAAGGAAUUUGAUGAGUCAUGGCCUACUAAAGCAAGUUAUAUUACUAGUCUUAUCUACCUUAACAGGCCACACAAGAUUACAAACUAAGUUCUGUGCUAGCCAUGCUUAUCUAGUUUAUGCGUAACAAUUUGCAGAAAAUUACAAACUUAGUUUCAGAAAAAUAGGCAAUCUAGAUUAGUGUUUGAGCUGUAAAGUGAAUAAGAUGAGUCAUGUGUGUUAUCACACCUUUUUGGUUGUGGAAUAAUAGUGCAACAACAAGGAACUUUAAUGACCAGUCCAAGAAUACACUUGUAAGUAGUGCCACCGAACACAACAUGCCAAAUUUUGAUUUUGAGAAGCAUCCAAACACUUCCACACAAGCAAAUGCCAAUUGUGAAAGAGAUCAUGCCAUGGCAGCUAUAAAUAGGCCCGUAGCAUGACGAUCAUCCUUCCUCAUCCAUCAUUCUCAUAAGUAGAGCGCAUCAUUUAAGCCAAGCAAGCAGUGCUCAAUACAAAUCCACCAUGAAGACCUUUCUCAUCCUUGCCCUCCUUGCUAUUGUGGCGACCACCGCCACAACUGCAGUUAGAGUUCCAGUGCCACAAUUGCAGCUACAAAAUCCAUCUCAGCAACAGCCACAAGAGCAAGUUCCAUUGGUACAAGAACAACAAUUUCCAGGGCAGCAACAACCAUUUCCACCACAACAGCCAUAUCCGCAGCCGCAACCAUUUCCAUCACAACAACCAUAUCUGCAGCUGCAACCAUUUCCACAGCCGCAACUACCAUAUCCGCAGCCGCAACCAUUUCGACCACAACAACCAUAUCCACAGCCGCAACCACAGUAUUCGCAACCACAACAACCAAUUUCGCAGCAGCAGCAGCAGCAGCAGCAACAACAACAACAACAACAACAAAUCCUACAACAAAUUUUGCAACAACAACUGAUUCCAUGCAGGGAUGUUGUAUUGCAACAACACAACAUAGCGCAUGGAAGCUCACAAGUUUUGCAAGAAAGUACUUACCAGCUGGUGCAACAAUUGUGUUGUCAGCAGCUGUGGCAGAUCCCCGAGCAGUCGCGGUGCCAAGCCAUCCACAAUGUUGUUCAUGCUAUUAUUCUGCAUCAACAACACCACCACCACCAACAACAACAACAACAACAACAACAACAACCGUUGAGCCAAGUCUCCUUCCAACAGCCUCAGCAACAAUAUCCAUCAGGCCAGGGCUUCUUCCAACCAUCUCAGCAAAACCCACAGGCCCAGGGCUCUUUCCAGCCUCAACAACUGCCCCAGUUUGAGGCAAUAAGGAACCUAGCGCUACAGACGCUACCUGCAAUGUGCAAUGUGUAUAUCCCUCCAUAUUGCACCAUUGCUCCAUUUGGCAUCUUCGGUACUAACUGAGAAGAGAAGAACUCUAGUAGUAGAUAUAUGAUACACCGUUUUCUUAGUCCAUGGUUUGGUCGUUGUAGCGGUGAAAAAAUAAAGUGACAUGCACUAUCAUGUAAGAACCUGAACUAUACUAGUUCAAACUUGGGAAUAAAAGACAAACACAGGUCUUGUCUACAUAUGAUUGUUUGUUUGAGUUCCACUCAUGUGCCCAUUCACAAGUUCACCCCUAAUUAUAUAUAUUAUGCAUUAAGUAGAUAUUUAUGUUGCAUUAAUCUAAAGAUAACAAAAUGAGUCUGAAAUUUGAAUUAAAUUGAAGUAUUUCCUUGGACUUUCAAAUGGAGUAUUAUUAAAGUAGUAAGGACUAUCCACAUCCUUGGCUUGCCCUUGAUCAAUUAUUUGCUGAGAAGCAUUCAAUUCGUCAAUCAAUUACAUUGAUUUUUGUGGCUGGUACUUCUCCUCAACAUGAGUAUAUUCAUCGUGGCUACUCCAAAUCGGCAUGAAUGAGGUACCGGUGCUCUGGAGCACUAGUACCUAACAGCUUCUCAUGUGAAGGGGUGCGGGCACGGGAGAGGUGUUUUUGGUGGGUCAAGGGAGUAAGAAGCGGCCGUGGCAGCGGUCCAGACGCCCACAAAGCCUCGUAGUUUGUUUUUGGUUUACAGGAAAAUGCACAUCCAGACUGGCCUGCGGGCCGAUAUAGGACCGUAUUGGAUGGCAAAACAUGUCCAGAUGGUUGUGAGCGGUUUGAGGGUUAGCUUUUGUAACGCCCGGUUAGUUAUGCUAUGGUAGUUCCCUGCUAAUGAUGUCACGUCACCACGAUUACUGUUGUUAACCUCACAAUGAUUCAAUCCCAUUCAAAUCCAAAUUUAAAAUAAAGGCAAACAUCAAAAGUUUCAAACAUUAAAACUAAAAUCUUCGAGAGGUGAAAAAUAAUGCAUAAGUAAUUAUGGUGGAGAAACCACACUUUUAUAAAAUGUUUAAAUACUCUAAAAGGAAUAAAACAGUGGCUUAAACUAUUAUUUAAAUGCUUUUAAAAUAGUAAAAAUGUUCUAACUAAAUUAAUUGGGUACCAAACUUUUGGUGGCAGUGGUAUAUUUAGUAGAAAAAAUUUAGAUGCUAAUUAUAUAAUUUACAAAAUUAAAGUAAAUUAAAAAAUAGGAUAAAACAUAAAAGGAAAGACAAAACAAAUAAAAGCAAAAGGGGGCAACCCCUCACUGAGCCUCGGCCUAGCUGGCCACUAGGCUAGCUAGGCCGGCCCAGCCGCCUCCCUUAACCCCCCACUCCCCAUCGAACAAUAGCCCGAUCGCCCCACUUCCCCCACACCCCCUCGUCAGCCUCCCCACCUCUCGAUCCCAUCUGGAUCGGGGAGGGGAUCGCCCCCAUCGACCCCGUCGCCAUCGCCGGAUCACCCGCUCGCCCAUCGCCCGCCGGCGUCGCCGGGCCUCCUCCCCGCCGCCCGUCUCCGGCUCUCCUCCCCUCUCGCUCCUCUUCCCCGACCCGAUAUGGAUCGAGAAGGGGCAAUGAGCCCGACGCCCCCCUCCACCGACGUUGUGCGCCAGCACCGCCACCCGAAGACCUCGUCGUCGCCGGACCUCGCGUCGCCUCCUCGUAUCUCUCCCCGACUCGCCUCCUCAAGCCACGCCGACCCCCUUCUCGGCAACGCUGUGAGCCGCCCCCGUUUCCCUCCUUCUCUUUCCACCGUGUUUGAUAAGUCUCCAACGUAUCUAUAAUUUUUGAUUGUUCCAUGCUAUAUUAUAUUCUGUUUUGGAUGAUUAAUGGGAUUUAUUAUACACUUUUAUAUUAUUUUUGGGACUAACCUAUUAACCGGAGGCCCAGCCCAAAUUGCUGUUUUUUUGCCUAUUUCAGUGUUUCGCAGAAAAAGAAUAUCAAACGGAGUCCAAACGGAAUGAAACCUUCGGGAAUGUGAUUUUCGGAACAAACGUGAUCCAGAGGACUUGGAGUGGACGUCAAGCAACAGACGAGGAAGCCACGAGGUAGGGGCGCGCCUACCCUCCUGGGCGCGCCCUCCACCCUCAUGGGCCCCUCGUGGCUCCACUGACCUACUUCUUCCUCCUAUAUAUACCUACGUACCCCCAAACCAUCAGAAGCGACCACAAAAACCUAAUUCCACCGCCGCAACCUUCUGUACCCGUGAGAUCCCAUCUUAGGGCCUUUUCCGGCGUCCUGCCGGAGGGGGCAUUGAUCACGGAGGGCUUCUACAUCAACACCAUAGCCUCUCCGAUGAUGUGUGAGUAGUUUACCUCAGACCUUCGGGUCCAUAGUUAUUAGCUAGAUGGCUUCUUCUCUCUCUUUGGAUCUCAAUACAAAGUUCUCCUCGUUUCUCUUGGAGAUCUAUUUGAUGUAACUCUUCUUUUUGCGGUGUGUUUGUCGAGAUCCGAUGAAUUGUGGGUUUAUGAUCAAGAUUAUCUAUGAACAAUAUUUGAAUCUCCUCUGAAUUCUUUUAUGUAUGAUUGGUUAUCUUUGCAAGUCUCUUCGAAUUAUCAGUUUGGUUUGGCCUACUAGAUUGAUCUUUCUUGCAAUGGGAGAAGUGCUUAGCUUUGGGUUCAAUCCUGCGGUGUCCUUUCCCAGUGACAGCAGGGGCAGCAAGGCACGUAUUGUAUUGUUGCCAUCGAGGAUAAAAAGAUGGGGUUUAUAUCAUGUUGCAUGAGUUUAUCCCUCUACAUCAUGUCAUCUUGCUUAAAGCGUUACUCUGUUUUUAUGAACUUAAUACUCUAGAUGCAUGCUGGAUAGCGGUCGAUGUGUGGAGUAAUAGUAGUAGAUGCAGAAUCGUUUUGGUCUACUUGUCACGGACGUGAUGCCUAUAUACAUGAUCAUACCUAGAUAUUCUCAUAACUAUGCUCAAUUCUAUCAAUUGCUCGACAGUAAUUCGUUUACCCACCAUAAUACUUAUGCUCUUGAGAGAAGCCACUAGUGAAACCUAUGGCCCCCGGGUCUAUUUUCCAUCAUAUUAAUCUUCCGUCAACAAGCUAUUUCUAUCUUUAUUUACCUUGUAAUCUUUACUUUUACUCUUUAUCAUAAAAAUACCAAAAAUAUUAUCUUAUCAUCUCUAUCAGAUCUCACUCUCGUAAGUGACCGUGAAGGGAUUGACAACCCCUUUAUCGCGUUGGUUGCGAGGUUCUUAUUUGUUUGUGUAGGUGCGUGGGACUUGAGUGUGGCCUCCUACUGGAUUGAUACCUUGGUUCUCAAAAACUGAGGAAAAUACUUACGCUACUUUACUGCAUCACCCUUUCCUCUUCAAGGGAAAACCAACGCAGUGCUCAAGAGGUAGCAAGAAGGAUUUCUAGCACCGUUGCCGGGGAGUCUACGCACAAGUCAAGACAUACCAAGUACCCGUCACAAACUCUUAUCCCUCGCAUUACAUUAUUUGCCAUUUGCCUCUCGUUUUCCUCUCCCCCACUUCACCCUUGCCGUUUUAUUCGCCUCCUUUUCGUUUGCUUCUUGUUUGCUCGUGUGUUGGAUUGCUUGUUUGUCGCGAUGGCUCUACCUAGAUUUGGUGAUCUUCCAUUAAAAGGUUAGAAGAGAUUGAAAGCAACGUCAGAAGUUUCAUGACUUUACAAUUUGAGCAUAACAAUUUCUUUAGAAACGAGCUUAAGGAACAAAAAAGCUUUAUGGGUUACAUGAAUAAAGAGCUCGACGAUAUGUCUAAGGAAUUUUAUGGUCUAAAAUCUUAGAUUUCUCAUCUCGAAAAAUUAAUUGCUGAAAUUUCGGAUAAGCAGGCCACCUUAGUUAAUAAGAUGGCCGCUAAACCGGUAAUUUUUUAUGAGAAUAAAGAUGAAGAUCUAAAAGUUAUUGAUGUGUCCCCUAUUAAAUCUUAGUUUUGCAAUAUGAAUCUUGAUAAUGAUGGGACUGGAGAUGAGUCAACUUUAGUUAAAAGGCGUCCCAAAAAUUCGGAGUUUUUAGAUCUUGAUGCAAAAUUUGGUAAAAGUGGGAUUGAAGAGGUCAAAACUUUAGAUAUCAAUGAACCCACUAUCUUGGAUUUCAAGGAAUUUAAUUAUGAUAAUUGCUCUUUGAUAUAUUUUAUUUCCUUGUUGCAAUCCGUGUUAAAUUCUCCUCAUGCUUAUAGUCAAAAUAAAGCUUUUACUAAACAUAUCGUUGUUGCUUUGAUGCAAUCUUAUGAAGAAAAACUUGAGUUGGAAGUUUCUAUCCCUAGAAAACUUUAUGAUGAAUGGGAACCUACAAUUAAAAUUAAAAUUAAAGAUCAUGAAUGCUAUGCUUUGUGUGAUUUGGGUGCUAGUGUUUCCACGAUCCCAAAAACUUUGUGUGAUUUGCUAGGUUUCCGUGAAUUUGAUGAUUGUUCUCUAAAUUUGCAUCUUGCGGAUUCCACCAUCAAGAAACCUAUGGGAAGAAUUAAUGAUGUUAUUAUUGUUUCAAAUAGGAACUAUGUGCCCGUAGAUUUUAUUGUUCUUGAUAUAGAUUACAAUCCUUCAUGUCCUAUUAUUUUUGGUAGACCUUUCCUUAGAACGAUUGGUGCAAUUAUUGAUAUGAAAGAAGGAAAUAUUAGAUUCCAAUUUCCGUUAAGGAAAGGUAUGGAACACUUUCCUAGAAAGAAAAUAAAAUUACCUUAUGAAUCUAUUAUGAGAGCUACUUAUGGAUUGCCUACCAAAGAUGGCAAUACCUAGAUCUAUCCUCGCUUUUAUGCCUAGCUAGGGGCGUUAAAUGGUAGCGCUUGUUGGGAGGCAACCCAAAUUUUAUUUUAGUUUUUUUGCUUUUUUGCUUCUGUUUAGGAAUAAAUCUUUGAUCUAGACUCUGGUUAGACUUGUUUUUAUGUUUUAAUUAGUGUUUGUGCCAAGUUAAACCUAUAGGAUCUUCUUGGAUGAUAGUUAUUUGAUCUUGCUGAAAAUUCCAGAAACUUUCUGUUCACGAAAACAAUUGUUAAAAAUCACCAGAACGUGAUAAAAUACUGAUUCUAAUUGCAGUAGAUCAAUAAACAAAUUAUCUAGGUCUUCCUAUUUUGGUAGAUUUUUCUGAGUUACAUAAGUUUGUGUUAGUUACAGAUUACUACAGACUGUUCUGUUUUUGACAGAUUCUGUUCUUCGUGUGUUGUUUGCUUAUUUUGAUGAAUCUAUGGCUAGUAAAAUAGUUUAUAAACCAUAGAUAAGUUGGAAUACAUUAGGUUUAACACCAAUAUAAAUAAAGAAUGAGUUCAAUACAGUACCUUGAAGUGGUGUUUUGUUUUCUUUCGCUAACGGAGCUCACGAGAUUUUCUGUUAAGUUUUGUGUUGUGAAGUUUUCAAGUUUUGGGUAAAGAUUUGAUGGAUUAUGGAACAAGGAGUGGCAAGAGCCUAAGCUUGGGGACGCCCAAGGCACCCCAAGGUAAAUCUAAGGACACCAAAAAUCCAAAGCUUGGGGAUGCCCCGGAAGGUAUCCACUCUUUCGUCUUCGUCCAUCGGUAACUUUACUUGGAGCUAUAUUUUUAUUCACCACAUGAUAAGUGUUUUGCUUGGAGCGUCUUGUAUGAUUUGAGUAUUUGCUUUUUAGUUUACCACAUUCAUACUUGCUGUACACACCUUUUGAGAGAGACACACAUGAUUCAGAAUUUAUUAGAAUACUCUAUGUGCUUCACUUAUAUCUUUUGAGCUAUAUAGUUUUUGCUCUAGUGCUUCACUUAUAUCUUUUAGAGCACGGUGGUGGUUUUGUUUUAUAGAAACUAUUUUUCUCUCAUGCUUCACUUAUAUCAUUUUGAGAGUCCUACAUAACAGCAUGGUAAUUUGCUUAAAUUGAGAAAUUAGUCCUAAUAUGAUAGGCAUCCAAGAUUAGUAAAAACUUUCUUAUAAGUGCGUUGAAUACUAAGAAAAGUUUGAUGCUUGAUGAUUGUUUUGAGAUAUGGAGGUAGUGAUAUUAAAGUUGUGCUAGUUGAGUAGUUUUGAAUUUGAGAAAUACUUGCGUUGAAGUUUGCAAGUCCCGUAGCAUGCACGUAUGGUAAACGUUGUGUAACAAAUUUGAAACAUGAGGUGUUCUUUGAUUGUCCUCCUUAUGAGUGGCGGUCGGGGACGAGUGAUGGUCUUUUCCUACCAAUCUAUCCCCCUAGGAGCAUGCGCGUAGUGCUUGGUUUUUGAUGACUUGUAGAUUUUUGCAAUAAGUAUGUGAGUUCUUUAUGACUAAUGUUGAGUCCAUGGAUUAUACGCACUCUCACCCUUCCAUCAUUGCUAGCAUCUUCGGUACCGUGCAUUGCCCUUUCUCACCUUGAGAGUUGGUGCAAAUUUCGCCGGUGCAUCCAGACCCCGUGAUACGAUACGCUCUGUCACACAUAAACCUCCUUAUAUCUUCCUCAAAACAGCCACCAUACCUACCUGUUAUGGCAUUUCCAUAGCCAUUCCGAGAUAUAUUGUCAUGCAACUUUCCACCGUUCCGUUUAUCAUGACACGUUUCAACAUUGUCAUAUUGCCUUGCAUGAUCAUGUAGUUGACAUCGUAUUUGUGGCAAAGCCACCGUUCAUAAUUUUUCAUACAUGUCACUCUUGAUUCAUUGCCCAUCCCGGUACACCGCCGGAGGCAUUCAUAUAGAGUCAUACUUUGUUCUAGUAUCGAGUUGUAAUCAUUGAGUUAUAAAUAAAUAGAAGUGUGAUGAUCAUCAUUCAUAGAGCAUUGUCCCAAAAAAAGGAGAAAGGCCAAAUGAAAAAAAGGCCCAAAAAAAGGGGCAAUGUUACUAUCCUUUUUCCAUACUUGUGCUUCAAAGUAGCACCAUGGUCUUUAUGAUAGAGAGUCUCUUGUUUUGUCACUUUCAUAUACUAGUGGGAAUUUUUCAUUAUAGAACUUGGCUUGUAUAUUCCCACAAUGGGCUUCCUCAAAUGCCCUAGGUCUUCGUGAGCAAGCAAGUUGGAUGCACACCCACUUAGUUUCUUUUGUUGAGCUUUCAUGCAUUUAUAGCUCUAGUGCAUCCGUUGCAUGGCAAUCCCUACUCCUUGCAUUGACAUCAAUCGAUGGGCAUCUCCCUAGCUCGUUGAUUAGCCGCGUCAAUGUGAGACUUUCUUUUCUUUUUUUCUUCUCCACAUAACCCCCAUCAUCAUAUUAUAUUCCACCCAUAGUGUUAUAUCCAUGGCUCACGCUCAUAUAUUGCGUGAAAGUUGAAUUUUUUUUGAGAUUACUAAAGUAUGAAACAAUUGCUUGGCUUGUAAUCGGGGUUGUGCAUGAUGAGAGCAUUCUUGUGUGACGAAAAUGGGGCAUGACCAAACUAUAUGAUUUUGUAGGGAUGAACUUUCUUUGGCCAUGUUAUUUUGAGAAGACAUAAUUGCUUAGUUAGUAUGCUUGAAGUAUUAUUACUUUUAUGUCAAUAUUAAACUUUUAUCUUGAAUCUUUCGGAUCUGAAUAUUCAUACCACAAAUAAGAGAAUUACAUUGAAAAUUAUGCUAAGUAGCAUUCCACAUCAAAAAUUCUGUUUUUAUCAUUUACCUACUCGAGGACGAGCAGGAAUUAAGCUUGGGGAUGCUUGAUACGUCUCCAACGUAUCUAUAAUUUUUGAUUGUUCCAUGCUAUAUUAUAUUCUGUUUUGGAUGAUUAAUGGGCUUUAUUAUACACUUUUAUUAUUUUUGGGACUAACCUAUUAACCGGAGGCCCAGCCCAAAUUGUUGUAUUUUUUGCCUAUUUUAGUGUUUCGCAGAAAAAGAAAAUCAAACGGAGUCCAAACGGAAUGAAACCUUCGGGAACGUGAUUUUCGGAACAAAUGUGAUCCAGAGGACUUGGAGUGGACGUCAAGGAACAGACGAGGAAGCCAUGAGGUAGGGGGGCGCGCCUACCCCCUGGGCGCGCCCUCCACCCUCGUGGCUCCACCGACCUACUUCUUCCUCCUAUAUAUACCUACGUACCCCCAAACCAUCAGAAGCGACCAUGAAAACCUAAUUCCACCACCGCAACCUUCUAUACCCCUGAGAUCCCAUCUUGGGGCCUUUUCCGGCGUCCUGCCGGAGGGGGCAUUGAUCACGGAGGGCUUCUACAUCAACACCAUAGCCUCUCCGAUGAUGUGUGAGUAGUUUACCUCAGACCUUCGGGUCCAUAGUUAUUAGCUAGAUGGCUUCUUCUCUCUCUUUGGGUCUCAAUACAAAGUUCUCCUCGUUUCUCUUGGAGAUCUAUUUGAUGUAACUCUUCUUUUUGCGGUGUGUUUGUCGAGAUCCGAUGAAUUGUGGGUUUAUGAUCAAGAUUAUCUAUGAACAAUAUGUGAAUCUCCUAUGAAUUCUUUUAUGUAUGAUUGGUUAUCUUUGCAAGUCUCUUCGAAUUAUCAGUUUGGUUUGGCCUACUAGAUUGAUAUUUCUUGCAAUGGGAAAAGUGCUUAGCUUUGGGUUCAAUCUUGCGGUGUCCUUUCCCAGUGACAGCAGGGGCAGCACGGCACAUAUUGUAUUGUUGCCAUCGAGGGUAAAAAGAUGGGGUUUAUAUCAUAUUGCAUUAGUUUAUCCCUCUACAUCAUGUCAUCUUGCUUAAAGCGUUACUCUGUUCUUACGAACUUAAUGCUCUAGAUGCAUGCUGGAUAGCGGUCGAUGUGUGGAGUAAUAGUAGUAGAUGCAGAAUCGUUUCGGUCUACUUGUCACGGACGUGAUGCCUAUAUACAUGAUCAUACCUAGAUAUUCUCAUAACUAUACUCAAUUCUAUCAAUUGCUCGACAGUAAUUCGUUUACCCACCGUAAUACUUAUGCUCUUGAGAGAAGCCACUAUUGAAACCUAUGGCCCCCGGGUCUAUUUUCCAUCAUAUUAAUCUUCCGUCAACAAGCUAUUUCUAUCUUUAUUUACCUUGCAAUCUUUACUUUUACUCUUUAUCAUAAAAAUACCAAAAAAAAUUAUCUUAUCAUCUCUAUCAGAUCUCACUCUCGUAAGUGACCGUGAAGGGAUUGACAACCCCUUUAUCGCGUUGGUUGCGAGGUUCUUAUAUAUUUGUGUAGGUGCGUGGGACUUGAGUGUGGCCUCCUACUGGAUUGAUACCUUGGUUCUCAAAAACUGAGGGAAAUAAUUACACUACUUUACUGCAUCACCCUUUCCUCUUUAAGGGAAAACCAACGCAGUGCUCAAGAGGUAGCAGUGUUCACCGCGCCGCCCGCCGUGCCCCUCGCCGCGCGCACGCCCACCACCGCGCCAGCCCCCGCUCAGCGCCCUCUCCUGCACGCUUGUGCGCGCAUGACCCUAGCCACGCCCGCGCCGUGAUCCCCUUGUUCGGCCCGCCUUCGUCCCGCGCUCGCCGCGGCCCCCAUGCUCCCCCGUGCCAUCUUCUAGGGGCGUCGGCUGCCCCUGUCCCGCUGCUCGCUGCCACGCCUCGCCCGCCCGCGCCUCGCCACCGCUCUACUGCUACGCUAAUAUUGCGCUGUGGCCGCCGCCGCUUCCCGCUGCUCUGCCAGCGCCGAAGCUCCCGGUUGGCUCCGCCGCUGCUCACGUUUUACCGCCCCUAAACGGCCUACCCCCCCCCUCGCUAAUGAACCCCCACUGACCCGCUGACACCGGGACCCACAUCCCCUAAUUAACCAUUUAAUAAAUUAAAAAUCUUAAAUUAACAUUAGUGUAUGACAUGUGGGUCCCCUAUUAAUUAAACUGAUUUAAUUAAAAUCUAUUAACAUUGAGUCUGUGACAUAUGGGCCCCACUAAACAUUUGACCAGUCAACGGUCUAGUCAAAUGCUGACCGGACAGUUGACCAGAGGGCCCCACCAGUCAGCCUCUGUGCUGUUCUGCUGGGUACCUUUCUAAGUACACCUAGCAUUUUGCAUUUACAAUAUUUGUUUUAAAAUAAAUUAGAAUAAUUUCAAAAAAAGAUUAAAACUUUUAAAAUUAAAAUAAAAUAAUCCGUAACUCGGAUGAAAUUACUUUAUACAUGCAAGUUGCUCAAAAAACGAGACGAAUCCGAAUACACAGUCCGUUCGUCUGCCACACGUCCCUAGCAUAGCAAACAUGCAACCAUCCCCCUCCGGUUCGACUGUCCGAAAAUGUCAGACACGGGAAAUACUUUUCCGGAUUUUCCCCUUCACCAUUAGCACCUAGUACCGCGUGAGGGCAUACCUAGCACCACUUAUUGUAAUGUCAUGCAUCGUCAUGCAUCUGUUUGCAUUGUAUUCAUUGUUUCUUCCUCCUCUUCUCUCCGGUAGACUACGAGACCGACGUCGGUGCUGCCCCGGUCGACUACGGUGUCCAUGACCCCUCCUUGUAAGCAGAGCUUCCAGGCAAGCAAACCCCCUUGAUCAUCCCGAUAUCGCCUACUCUUUCCCUCUACUGCUUGCAUUAGAGUAUUGUUACUGUUUGUCGGUUUGAUCCUAUACUGCUGCAUGGCUUGUCUUUGAUACUACUUAUGUGUUAUUUGUGUAGAUUUGUCAAGGAAAAAUGAGUCUAUAGCCUAAUAAAUGAAGUGUUGCAUGUUACCACACAUAUGUUAAUCCCCACUAUAGAGUUAGUAACAUAGACUAGUAACAUGUGCAUGUUACUACCCAUUGUGGCCAGUCUAUGUUACCACUUUCCUCUCUUUCUUCAUUUAUUGCUUGCCACAUCAUCUAUUUUAUCUAGGUAUGUGUGAUAUUACUACCUAUGUUACUCCCACUGUGGGUAGUCUAAGCAGGCUAUAAGGAAUAGAAUAAUAUAUAUGUGCUUAUUAGUUGGAGGAAAGAGAAGAGAAGCGGGCUCUUGGUUAGUAGAGCCAGCUACAACAUGAGACCCAAGCACUUUGUGAGGAUGUAAGGUGGCCAACUAUUGAUAAACUAGUACGUAUAUAAAAAUUAUUAUUGCACAUGGCCGCUAAGAGGUUGGCUGUAUAUGACAUGACAACUUCUUAUAGCCGACCCUUGGCUGUAUUAUUAACCAUGCUCUUAGUGAGGUAGCUAGUAUAUCAUAGACGACUAGCUAGUAUCAGACUAGCCAAAGUGGGAGUAACUUCAGCAGUAACAUCGACUCCAACUCAGAAAACUUGCUUAUGUGGGAGUAAACCGUGCCCAAUGCAAAAUACAAUCCCAGUCAUAAUUUUUUCAGGAAACGUGUGGUAUCCCAAACGAAAAGUACAUGUCACUCUUGCGGCAACGAUACCCAAUAAAUCACAAACGGUCUGCAGCACUUGUAUGUGUGCGAAGAGGCUCCUGAACCGUUUGUGAUAGAACAUUAUCGUAGACGAUAAUUGUUGGCAAACGUGUGCGAUGGAGUCUAGCAUGGCAGACAGGUUACGCAGAAAACUCGUGUGCGAUGGGGCACAAAUCGCACACAGUUCAUAUGUUGGCCCGUGUGCCUUACAUACUAUUUCCCAAACGGUUUGUUACGACAGACCGUAUGGUUUCAGUGCGUCAUUAGAAACGCUUAAUCACCGAUACCACACGUGCGAAAGAAUUUAGUGUGUGCUUCAUCGCACACGAUUACAUUUUGGAAGGCCUCUGGAUCACUGCUCCAUAUCCCCGACGGUUUCUGGGUCGUGUGGGAAGUACACCCUAUCGCACACACUCACUUGGCGACGGUUCCAAAUGCCAUCGCGGAAAGGGGUUGAAAACAGUUUGUUUAGAACCGACGCGUACCAUUGUCUAUCUAUCUAUCUACCUAUCUAUCUAUCUAUCUAUCCAUCCAUCUAUCUAUCUAUCCAUCUAUCUAUCCACCUAUCCAUCUAUCCAUCUAUCUAUCUCUAUCCAUCUAUCUAUCUAUCCAUCUAUCCAUCUAUCUAUCCAUCUAUUUAUCUAUCUAUCUAUCUAUCUAUCUAUCUAUGUAUCCAUCGAUCCAUCUAUCCAUCCAUCGAUCCAUCUAUCCAUCCAUCUAUCUAUCCAUGCAUCCAUGUAUCCAUCUAUCGAUCUAUCCAUCUAUCCAUAUAUCGAUCUAUCCAUCUAUCUAUCCAUCUAUCCAUCUAUCCAUCUAUCGAUCUUUCCAUCUAUCGAUCUAUCCAUCUCUUCAUCUACCCAUCUAUCCAUCUAUCCAUCUACCGAUCUAUCUAUCCAUCUAUCUACCUACCUAUCUAUCUAGCUAUCUAGCUAUCUAUCUAUCUAUCCAUCCAUCUGUCCAUCCAUCCAUCUAUCUACCUACCUACCUACCUACCUACCUACCUAUCUAUCUAUAUAUCUAUCUAUCUAUCUAUCUAUCUAUCUAUCUAAAGGAAAUAUGCCCUAGAUGCAAUAAUAAAGUUGUUAUUUAUAUUACUUAAACUAGCAGAGUCACCCGCGCAUUUGCGCGGCUAGAUUGACUACAUAUAUUGUUAUAUUUGGGAUUAUUUUUCUAUGCCAACUUUAUGGCCUCUUACUCAGAUAUUAUCUAAUUUAAUUUACCACCACCAUAUGUUAUAUCCAUAGAUUAUAAUUAAAAGGCAACUUGCGACGAAACAUGGUCAGAUUAUUGAGUGCUCAGAAGACGGGCGCAAUAUCAUAUAUAGACUUCUAUACCAAUCUUCAUGGUUCCCAUCUUUGAUCCUCUCCUCGUCCCUUGGUAUCUAUCUUUGCACCCAAUAUGUCUUUGGAGUUCCAAGAAUUGGAUCUUAGCAUGAAUGGCUUCAAAGUGUACCAAAUGUUCUCUUGUUCCUCCCAAAUUAAUUACUGGUUGCAUUCUUAGUUGCUUUGACAUUCUUGGUUAAUGCAAUGUCUUGCCUACCAAUAUAUGCAUCCACACACGAUCAUAUUUAUAUGACCACUUACCUCUGUAUUCUGGUAUUUGUGCUUCAGAAUUUUUCUCUCAUUCAGUUUAUUCAUAGAUUAGAAACGUCGAUCGUUUCUUUAUUGGUUUGCAUUAUCUUGUUUGCCGAAUGUAAGCAUCCACACAUGCUCGUCAUGAUAUGAUUGGUCAUCAUUGUAUAUUUGUAUUUGUGUGUUGAUAGCUUAAGGAUUUUCUCGGAUUCACUUCAUAGUUUAAGGAUUUUCUCGCGUUCAAUUUAUUCUACCUUAUUCAUUUUCAUGUUUCUUUAUUGUAUUCAUAUCCAUUCUUACAAUAUAUUUUCCAAGAUAUGAACUCAACUACUAAUUACGUAGUUUUCAAUGAAAUUUUACAUGUAAAAGUGGUACAAAUGCAUAAACCCAAUUUUUUUUUAAACACGUUGACUUACAAAAAGGACAAUUCAAGCUGCAUGUACGUCCGACUCAUGUUUACCUGACAAUGUCGAUGUUGAUUUCAGCAGUAAAUGAGCUGUGUGUGACCUUUGCGCUUUCCGGUAUUCUUCUAACCUGUGUGCUUUAUGAUCAGUUUGUUGUGCUUAGUACUGGACACUGGAGUAUACUAUCAUAUUUGAUACAAACAAAUCCGAACUGCUAUAGUUAUGAUCCACUGUAUAGUUAAUGGUGGUGGUAAUUAAUAUAUGUGGUUAAAUACUUGCGCUCCUUAGGUGGGGAGUUGGAUUUGUAUUUGUCUAAAAUGAAUUUCAGAUUUCGUAUCAGUGGUGAAGCCAGCCGGAAGAACCUCUGCGUCAUUAUUAAUUUUGGUGAUAUUUUUCAUCAUAGUGUAGAAUAAUUUUAGUGCUUAUUCCGCAAAAAAAUGGCCUCAACUGACCCCAUAGCUUGUAUGUUGCGCCACCACUGUUUCGUAUAUCUUAUUACAUCCGUUGUUUUUAGAUCUUGAUGCAUAACUUUGACAAUUUUUAAUAGAUAUGUGUCUGUAUAAAAAAAUUAUAAAUGCUAUGAUAAUUUGAUUAAUUAUGAUGAAUAAAAUGGUAUUGCUUUGACUUGAUCCCUCUAACAAUUUAUAGGAAUGCUCUUAAAUAUUUCUGCUUCAUUUGAUCUCAUUAUAGCCUGCCUAAAUUACAUGGCUUAAUCGCCUUUUUUCUUUUAUCUUAGUUCAUUUCCGUAAAUUCAUUUGUACUAUAUAUGCUCCCGUAAAUUCAUUUUUUUAAUUGCUCACAUUUUUUUGAGGCAUUUUGAGUUUCUCACGUACGCUCAAACGCCCAAGAAAACACAUAUAGUGUUCGCUACGCCCAAGAAAACACAUUGAGGCAGUAAUUUCUUCAGGCAAGAUCGAUCGGCAGCUAAUUAAGUAGGCUGGAUGGCAUUGAGAAAUCCAAAAACGAUUUACAUACACAUGGUAGAUCGUCUCUCUCUCUCCUUCCACCCCUUCCUUUCAUGGCCAUCGUAGACUGCACCAUGUGGCAUUCAAACUUUUAUCAAGGGGAGAGUUUCCUCACACACACACACACACAUGCACAUACGCAAGCACACGCACACACGUGUAGUACAAACUUAGAAUUUUUGGAAAUAAUGGGAGGCCGAGCAACGGCCAUGUGAAAAUAUGAGGUAUAUAGCUUGUGGAUUUCCUUUCAGUGUACAAGGCCUGCAUGAGGAAUGGAUAAAAAAUUAUAUCUUUGAUUCCCUUAGUUAAAUCUUAUCCUUCAUCGUCAAUUAUGACUAAGCAUACAUAGUAACCGCUAGUUUCUCUUAUAUGCUUCCGAGAAGAUAAGACUGGAUAUUUUAGUUGCUAUUAAUUGUUUCCCUUCUUUCGCUAAAUAGUAGUCAAACAUGUUAUUAAUGUAUUUUGUAAGGAUAAGGUCGAGCAUCAUGGCCACUAUGUUCUAUAUAUACUGAAUUUGGUGUUCAGUAUGACAUAACAAACACAUAUUGUGAGAAGGAGUAGUGUACAUUGUUCUCUAGUGCACUUUGUUCAGCAAGUUGGGUGAAAAUGUUGAAUAGAACCAUCAAGUUUUCAUACUUUUUUUCAUGGCACAGGUUUGCCUUCUCAUGAUGAUGGCCGCACCGUUUGCACAAGCUGCUGGGAGGCCUGUGGCCUCCUUACCAUGGGUAGCGGGGUGUUGCCCGAGGAACUAUUUGUGUUGUGGUGUUGGUGCCGUUGCCCCGACAUCCCAUGCAUCACAGGCCACCUCUGUACCUUGAGUUAUGGUUUCGCCUGAUCUCCUCUCAUAACAUAGUUGAUAUAACAUAGUAGCAUCACAAAGGUUGCAUGGUUUCAUUGAUUCAUCUCUUUUCUACUCCUUGAAACUUGUGAUGCCACUUUUGAACAAUGUCAUUGCUAUGUCUUCUUAUAACUAAUAAAAUGGGAGGAUAUUUUCAUCUUAUUUGAAUUGUGUUGUAACAUUACCUACUAAUGUGGAUGAUCUGAGUGGGACUACAUAGAUCGGAUCUUCUAAAGAUGUAAUCUAGGACUUUGCGAGAUGAUGAAAUUGUCCUUUAUCUUGGUCGACACCUUUUCGUAGAAGUGUUGGUCGGCCGUCUGUGUCUUUUUGCGGUGCAUGCCGUAGAAUCCUCCAUGUUUUGUAGUUGUACAAUAACCUUUGAGGCAACCGGGGGUGGUACGUCUGAGGAAGUCGGUGGCCCAGGAAUAUUCAUAAUAAGAUCUUGACCAUGGAUGCCAAGUAAUUUGCCCCGUGCUGAUGUCGUCGGGCUGACCCGCUCACUUAUGUUUUGACUCAAGGAGUCGCUAUGUUCACCGAGUCGCGAGACAGCGGGAGGAAGGAGACGAAGGUCCCAAACGUCAGACCAAAAAGGUGGACUAGGGCUCGCCCUAGUUGUGCUCUCGGGUAUUUUCAGUUACUAGUAGGAGUAAGAAGCAUUGCAAAUUGCUCCCUCUGUUCAAUCCGUAUAUAUGUAGUCCAUAUUCAUAUAUUCAAAAUAUUUUAUAUUUGUGAACGAAGGAAGUAAUUAAUUGUAAUGCAACAAUUUCAGGGGAGGCCAGUCAACAGCUAACUAAAUGUGCUGGAUGAGACUGGAGAAAUGUAUAAACGAUUUACACAUGAUAGAACUACUCUUUUCUUGUUAAGAAAUGGAAGAAUGGAUGAUUUUAUCCGUUCGGAACAAAACCCAAUAUUCAUCCAGUUAGACGUUGUUCUGAAUUGUGACGCUUUUGAAAGUUUUCUCGCAGAAAUAUGUGUGUAUUCCAGUUGUAUCAUUAGCAAACCAAGGUUGUAUAUAUUAUAGCACAAAGAAUGUUUGGUUGAUUCGUUCAGGCGAAUCGGGUUUGUUGCUGACUGCCAAAGUCAGGCCAACUCCAGCGCACGACCCCAAACGGACAUCUGUUUUGCCUGGAUUCUGCCCGUUUGGAUAGGGCAAUGGGGUCGUGUCCGGGCCUGUCCUGUGAUGCGGUGGCCGUGCGCACAACGUGCGGACGCAUCCUUUGGCCUCAUCAUGUCCGCCACGGCCAAAAAUGCCCAUAUAUUCAUAUUUCAAUGUUCAAAACUAGUUUGCACGUUCAAAUAUUAAUUGUCUGAAAAUAAAAAUAGUUAUUACAACCCAAUCAAAAUUGUCUCUAAUAAAAUAGUUUUACAACCAAAUCGAAAUUGUCUUGAAUGAACAUAAUGAACCAAUACAUCUAUUGGUUGCCAAUGUGAUUCCACAUGUGCUCAACCAAGUCAUUUUGAAGAUCCAAAUGAGUGUGCCAAUCAUGCAUUUCACGAUGAAAUUGGGCAAACUUCUCAAACGUGGCCGGUUCUUGGUGCAGGGGCUGAACAUUUUCACCUUGAAAAUCAAAUCCUUGGUCGAAGAUGCUGUUAUCAUGCUCGUCCUCGAUGAUUAUGUUGUGCAUGAUCACACAAGCAGUCAUCACCUCCCGAAGCUUCCCUUCAUCCCAUGUCAAUGCAGGGUUUCAAACGAUACCCCAUCGGGAUUGAAGCAAACCAAAAGCACGUUCCACAUCCUUCCUAGCACUCUCUUGCAUUUGGGCAAAUCUCUUUCUCUUCUCACCUUGGGGGUUCGAGAUUGUCUUCACAAAAAGUUGACCACUGAGGAUAUAUACCAUCAGCUAGGUAGUAUCCCUUGUUAUACUGGUGGCCGUUGAUCUCAAAGUUGCCAGGUGGGGAGUGGCCUUCUGCAAGCCUUGCGAAGACUGGAGAACGCGGCAGCACGUUGAUAUCAUUGUGAGAACCUGCCAUGUCGAAGAAAGAAUGCCAUAUCCAAAGAUCUUGCGAAGCCACCGCUUCUAAUAUGAUAGUGCAAGCUUUAACAUGCCCCUUGUACUGGCCCUGCCAAGAAAAUGGACAGUUCUUCCACUCCCAGUGCAUACAAUCUAUGCUACCAAUCAUGCCUGGAAAGCCUCUAGCUGCGUUGGUCGCCAACAAGCUUUCUGUAUCAGUGGCAUUUGGCUGCUGAGGGAGUCCUGGAUUAAGGGGUCCUCGGGCGUCUGGGCUAUGUAACAUGGGCUGGACUAAUGGGCCGCGAAGAUACAAGAUGGAAGGCUUUCCCCCCAUGUCCGGAUGGGACUCUCCUUGGCGUGGAAGGCAAGCUUGGCAUGCGGAUAUUAAAGAUUCCCUUCCCUGUAAACCGAGUCUGUACAACCCUAGCCCCCUCCGAUGUCUAUAUAAACCGGAGGGUUUAGUCCGUAGAGGCAAGGAUAAUCAUACAGGCUAGAUAUCUAGGGUUUAGCCAUUACGAUCUCGAGGUAGAUCAACUCUUGUAAUCCCUAUACUCAUCAAAGUCAAUCAAGCAGGAAGUAGGGUAUUACCUCCAUUAAGAGGGCCCGAACCUGGGUAAACAUCGUGUCCCCUGCCUCCUGUUACCCUCUAUCCUUAGACGCACAGUUCGGGCCCCCCUAUCCGAGAUCCGCCGGUUUUGACACCGACAGCUGCCUCAAGUACUCAGGGCCAAACACUGCCACCACAGCCUUGUAGAAUUUGUAAAGUGACAACAGACAUGUCGACUCACUCAUGCGCACGUACUCAUCCACCAGAUCGCCUGGAAUUCCAUAUGCAAGCAUGCCGAUGGCCGCGGUGCACUUCUGGUAAGAGGAGAAUCCAAGCUUGCCAAGGGCAUCCGUCUUGCACUCGAAGUAUGGGUCAUGAGCAACCACUCCCUCUCGGAUACGAUUGAACAGAUGCCUUGCCAUACGAAAACGGCGACGGAAUUUAUUCGGCUUGAAGAGCGAGGUAUUCGCAAAGUAAUUGGCAUAGAGCAAGGCGUGGCCUCUCUCUCUAUUGCGUUUCAGGUUGGGAGCACGGCCAGGGACUGACCCCAUGUACCGAGGAAGCUGCCCAAUGUGAUCGUGAACGACCAGUGCAACCACCACCAGAUCUUCGUCAUCCGAGGACGAAUCAUCCGAUGAAUAAAUGAAGUGGUGGAAGAAAAAUUCAUCUCCACUGUCCAUACCUUUGUGGGCAAAGUGUCCAACACCUUGCGGUCGUGGUGGCAAAUAGGCCGCGAUGAUCAUCUCGAUGCAGCAGGGGUGGUUGGCGGCCGGCUACUGGCCGCUAUGGAGCACCUGGCGAAAGCUGCCGUGGUCCAUAUCCGUCGCCGGUGGUCGUAUCCCCUCUGGCACCGGCUACAACGACGACGGCCAAAUCUCCUCCAAGCGAUGGCCAGAACUCCUACGAAAGCGCGGGCUUGGUGGCGGCCGUGUCGAGACGUGGUUUGGUAUGGAUGGCCGGGGGGAAGCAGUGAGGAGGCGGUCGGAGAAUACUGGGGGCGCCGGUGGCGGGGUGGGGCGGAGGAGAGCGGGUGGAGGCGUUGGAGGCGAAUGGAGUGCUAGUGUCCCCAACAGGCGGGCCGCGGGGAGGACAAGGGCGUGUGUCCAGCCCGUCCGUGUGAUGUCCGUUUCAUCCCAAACUCGGCACAAGUUUGGGCCAGGAAUGGGUAAAAAACGGACGAAAUCCGGACAUUUGUCUAUUUGAGGCCGUGCCUUGGGUCGCGCUAUUCGUGUAUUCUACCCUAAACGGACGCACCAGAACGGAAUGGGGUCGCGUGCUGGAGUUGGCCUCACGACCGUUUCUGCCUUUGGCGCAGACAAGAGAUUCUACACUGUAAAGGAAAAAGCUGAAAGCUCGCUUGUCUCGUGUGUUUCUCUUCUCUUGCACCUUGUCGGAAAACAGCGUGCACCAGGGACGCUCGAUUCCAUGGCAGGCAUCAAUUCAAUCGAUCAUGCUACAGGGAACCGGCACUAUUUUCUUUUUCUUUUUCUUUUUCUUUUAGGUCGUGAACGCAAGUCAUUUGAGACAUUCACAUAGGACUUACAUAAUUGGUAGAUUUAUUAGCAUCAGUGUGGAGCUAAAGUGUUUGAUGUUUUGUAUGAAUGGUUUGGUCUUAACAAUCAAGCCGACCACUCAGGACCUACUUUUGGACUUUUUUUUUGUAUUAUUGUAUACUAGCAAAAGGGCCCGUGCGCGGAGAAAAAAAUUAUAAUCUUGAAUGACCAUGAUCACAUUUUUUUGCAUCACCGAGAUACACUAUCACUUUCAAUUUCGGGAAAUCAUGUACAUUUUUUAAACUUGUGAACAUUUUUCAAAUUCUUGAACACUUUUACAAAUCUGCAAACAUAUUCUAAAAUCAAGAACAUAUUUUGAAUUCAUGAACAUUUUAUAGUAUUUACAAACAUUUUUAGAAAUUACGAAUUCUUUUUAACAACUUUCUUGAAUAGGCAAACAAUUCUAAAAUGGACGAACAUUGUUUUAUAAAUCGGUGGAACAAUUUUUGAAAUUCACGAACAUUUUUUUGAUUUUACAAACAUUUUUUGAAAUGCAUGAUCAUUUUUGUAUAAACUAUUUUGUAUGUCACGAACAGAUUUUCAAAUAUUUGGUUAUUUCCCCAUUCAUGAACAUUUUUUGAAUGGUGAUAUUUUCUUCAAUUUCAUUAACAUUUUUUAUACACCAAUUUUUAAAAAGUCAUGGACGUAUUUUGAUUUCAUGAACAUUUGUUUUCAAAAUUUCGAACAUUUUUCGAGUCAGAUUCUUUAAUAAAAUUGCAAAUAUUUUUUGAAUACAUAAACAUUUUAUGAUUUAUUAAAACUUUAUUUGAAAAUUAUUUUUAAAUUUCAAAUAUUUUGUGUAUUCCGAAUUUAGUUAAAGCAGAAAAAACGGAAAAGGAUAAAAAAGGAAAUGUUAAAAACAGGCCGCCCGGACAUGGGCGGCCCAAACAGGCGGGCCGCGCCUUAUCCCUACGCGCAGAGCCCAGUAUGGGAGGUCGCUACUACAUGGCCCAGUCCAGACGUGGAUUCCCUGUGUGAAACAUUUAUAUCACUUAUACAUGACAUUUGUGGGUAAUUUGUACGACGUGCCAUAAGAAGAAAUAGCCCCUUUAUUAUUACUAGCAAAAGUGUCCGUGUGUUGUAAUGGGAGAAAUAAAAUCAAAAUCUCCAAUGACCAUGACCAUAUUUUGUUGCAUCACCCAGACACCCUAUCACUCUCAAUUUCAUGAAAUCAUGAAUAAUUUUUGAAAUCACGAACAUGUUUUAAAAUUAUUACUCAUAUUUGAAAUUGUGAACAUUUUUCAAAUUCAUGAACACUUAUACAAAUUUUCGAACAUUUUCUAAAAUCCAGAACAUUUUUGGAAUUGAUGAACAUUUUAUACUAUUUGCAAACACUUUUUAAAGAUUCUGAACAUCUUUAUAAACAAUUUUCUUUAAUCGAGGAACAUUUGUAUGGAAAUUGACGGAACAAUUGUCGAAAUUCACAAACAUUUUUUGAUUGAACUAACAUUUUUUGAAAUACAUGAUCAUUUUUUGAAUCAGUAGACAUUUUCUGAAUGACUAAACUAUGUUGUAAGUCACGAAAUAGUUUUUGAAUUUUAGGAUAUUUCUCCAUUCAUGAACACUUUUUGAAUUGGCUAUUUUUUUCAAUUUCAUUAACAAUUUUUGAUACAAAAACUUUUUAAAAAUCAUGAAUUUUAUUUGAUUUCCCAAAAAAUUGUGUUUAAAGUUUUGAACAUUUAUUGUGUAAGCAAUUGUUUUUUACAAAACAGCGACCAUAUUUUGAAUCCACAAACAUUUUAUGAUUUAUGAAAAUUUUAUGUCAAAAUACUCAUUUUUUAAAUUUUCUAAACUUUUUUGAAAUCCUAAACUAUUUAUAGUAAAAAGAACGAAAACAGGAAAGAAAAAUGAAAAUAGAAAACGAAAUCAAAGAAACAGGCCAGCCUGAAAUGGGCCGGCCCAAACAUGCGUGUAGCGUCUUCUCCCAGCGUGCCGAGAACAUUAUAGGAGGUCCCUACUGUAGAGCCGGCCCAGAUGGGGGAAUUCCCUUGUGUGAAUUUUUUGUAUCACUUAUAUGUGGCAUUGAACUCAUGAAGCAUGCGCUAUCCCUUCCAGCUCGCCGCCAUGUCUGGCUCGGACAACCAGAUGGACUUUCUUUCGUCCCUGUAAACGUUUUGAUGAUAUAAUAAAAAGCUUCGGAAUUUGUCUAAAAAAACUUAUAAGUGGCAUUGGUGGGUAAUAUUUUGCAACUUUAGAGGUAAUUCCAUGACGUACCACCAGAAGCACAAUAGCCCCUUUACUAUUAUUAGGUACUCUUUUUUCCUUGUGGAGCUUUGGAAAUGAGAGAAUUUGAAUAUAGUAACUCUCGGAAACUCUUAUUGGACGAGAGAGAUUUAAUAUGAUAUUGGCAUGGGUUCUACCAACUAAACGAAGAAGUAUUUGACUGAAUAAACAGACAAUUUCCUUUAAUCGACGAACAUUUUUAUGAAAAUUGGUGGAAUAACUUUUGAAAUUCAUAAAUAUUUUUUGAGUUAACGAACAUUUUUUGAAAUACAUGACCAUUUUUUUGAAUCUGUGAACGUUGUAUGAAUGAAUAAACUAGUUUGUAAGUCAUGAGCAGUUUUUCAAUUUUUAGGAUAUUUUUCCCUUCAUGAACAUUUUUUCAAUUGGUGAAAUUUUGUUCAAUUUCAUUAACAAUUUUUAGUGCAUAAAACUUUUUAAAAUCAUGAACAUUAUUAUUUACCAAAGAAGCAAAUUGUUUUUUGCAAAAUCAUGGACAUUUUUUGAACCCACAAACAUUUUAUUAUUUAUGAAACAUUUUUUUAAUACACAAUUUUUUUAAUUUUCGAAUUUUUGUGAAAUACUAAAUUAUUUAAAGUAGAAAAAUCAAAAACAGAAAAGAGAAAGGAAUAAUAGAAAAGGAAGUUAAAUAAUAGGCCGACCGAACAUGGGCUGGCCCAAACGGGCGCACUGCAUCUUCUNNNNNNNNNNNNNNNNNNNNNNNNNNNNNNNNNNNNNNNNNNNNNNNNNNNNNNNNNNNNNNNNNNNNNNNNNNNNNNNNNNNNNNNNNNNNNNNNNNNNNNNNNNNNNNNNNNNNNNNNNNNNNNNNNNNNNNNNNNNNNNNNNNNNNNNNNNNNNNNNNNNNNNNNNNNNNNNNNNNNNNNNNNNNNNNNNNNNNNNNNNNNNNNNNNNNNNNNNNNNNNNNNNNNNNNNNNNNNNNNNNNNNNNNNNNNNNNNNNNNNNGUAUUAUUAUUGUUUCAAAUUUAUUCAUAUAUUAUUUUCAAUUGUACAACCAUAAUUUUUCUUAUCUCUCUCGUUCCACUACAUGCUCCUAGUCAAAGAUUUUUUUUAAUAAUGGGUGUUUUUAUUAACUCAAAAUAUAGCAUCAAGCGGAUACAAAACAUAAUGAGCCACACCCGGUCUAUGCAUAACUAAGAUGCACACAGCCAAAAGCAGAAGUCUGACAAAAAUAAGAUAAGAAAAUCGACAUAUCGACAACAGUGAGUCAUGUAGUACCGACACUAUGCCUCUGUCGAAGGAGGUGGUGGAGCGAUCUGGAGAUUAUGCUGCCAUCCAUGUUGAGUAAAUAUCUCCCUGGCCACUUGCUCCAACCGCAUAGACGCCGCCAUGAACAACGGUUGGUACUCCAUUCGGUGUAGCAUACACCAUACUAGAGGCUGGGGCGCCACCUGAGGCGGGCCUAUGCGCACUUAUUUUGUCUGGGCACUUCGGUUGUCAUGUUUGGUCAUCAGUAUCACUUAUGUACAUCAAUAUGGGCGUAUGCUGUAUUGUUUGAGUUCAUUAGGAUCUAUUAGUAUCACAUCAAUCAAAGUACAUAUACUAUGUUAUUUGAGUUCAGAACCAUCAUAGGCAAUGAUACGUCUAAUAAGGAUAUAUAACAUUUAAUUCAAAAGGAAAGACAAAGUAGAAUUAAGUGCUUUAGUUUGGCCGAAGAAAGGAACCUCAUGAUGCCAUGACUAAGGAACCAAAUAUAAAAGAGCACCUUUCAGAGUACUCCAGAGGUAUGACAUCAUCCAUUUCCACAUCAGAAUCAUCGGAAUUCUCCUGAUCUUCAUUUCGAUGUACCCAACACAAAUGCUACAUGGAUUUUAGUCAGCUGCACUCCCCACUACUUCUACACUUCCCCUUUUUCACACCGACGAGCAGAGACUGAUGCAAGUUGAUCGAACACAGAACAACAUAUAAUUUCCUAGAGAUGCGCUGGGCCUGAAAGGCAACAUACCUAGCAUGCGCAUAAAAUGUGAGAGUAACAAUAAAAGAACAUACCAUUUACCGAUAUGAUUAUUAUUGCUUGCCAAAAUGAUACGUUUUGAUUACUAUUGCAUGCCAAUAUUCUUAAUCACUCCAAGCAAAUUUAACCUAAACUAAAUAUCUAAGAGUAAGCUCUGGUUUAUGUAUUUUACAGAAGUUUGGUUCAGCGAAACUUCGGAAGCAAAUGUGUGAAGGUUUUAUCAUUCUAAUUAAAGGCCUUUUGAUUGUGCAAAACUUACACUACCACAUGAGUUACUGACCAACAUGAGAUGCAAAGUAACAACAGCAUGAUAAUUUUUUUUGAAGGCAGUCAUAUUCUAAAGCAUUAAAAGAUGAAUUCCAAUGCUUUGAUUCUGUAAAGAAUUAGAUCGAUCACUCAACAGUUCUAUUGGCGCCACUAAAAUUCUGAGUGCAAUGUUGUGUAUGUAGCUAAAAUUCACCCAUCAAAGACAACCUUAAUAAUAAGCAAUGGUCAAAACAAGCAAUUGUUGAAGUUAAAUGUAAUUAGAUAGGAAGUCACAUUUGAUUCAUGACCAUCGAGCUGAAAAUGAGACCGAUAAAAGCUGAUUCACCAUGAAGAGAAACAACUAAUGUGAACCUCGGGUUGUAAAACAAAUAGGAUGAGUCGUGUGCUGAUUGCAAAAAAUUGUACUUCUAACCAAAUGACCAUGCUUCAUGAAUAGAUGACAAUAUAGUAACACGAAAGUGAAGUACGGUGAAAUUUUGUAAGCUACUAAGGGCAUAGGGCAAAGCUCACACUCCAGCUUGCACUCCUUGAAGAAAUCAACCAAAAGCACCCAGAAAGAUAAAUGGCAUUGUGGCAUCCGAUGAAUGUUGAUAACUGUACCAUCACACUAAUUUAAUCUACAAAAUUCAUGUCAACAUCACUAAUCAUGAUGUAUCAGGUUAGGAUAAAAUCAUUGUUUUUUCCCAAAAUAAAAUAAAACAAGCCCAGUUAGAAAGAAAUCAUAAGCCUAUCAGACAAUCAGGCAAUUCUGUUAGCAUGUCAACAAUCAGACAGAACAAAACCUAUAGUCCUCAUUUUUUUCUUUCUAAAAAAAGUGUAAUGCUAGAAAAGAGAGUUAAAUAAAAUGCUACGUGAAUCAGCAUACAGAAAAUUCAUAGAAGCAAUGAAGAAAAUAUGAACAAAAUUUAUGUCGAAACACCUAUACUUUCCCCACGAGCAAAUAUGUGUAAUGUUAGAAAAGGGAGUUAAAUAAAAUGUUAGGCAAAUCCGCAUCCAGAAAAUUCAUAGAAGCAAUGAAGCAAAGAUGAGCGACAAAUUUAAUCUACACACACACACACACACACACAUUCAGGCAAACAAAUUACUUCGAUUGAAUCCAUUCCUUUGCAUAUAUGGCAUAAAUGCAUCUAAGGAAAAAAAAACUUGAUGGUGUUAGUUUACCUUGCCAAGAUCAUGAAAUCCAUCUAAAUGAAUAAGAAGCUCCAACAGUGUCCGCUGGAUCUCAUGGUCGUCAUUGGUUCCCUCACUAAAUCUUCUCGCAUCAAUUGCAUCGAUUUCAUCCAUGAAGAUAAUGCAUGGCUAGAAAUAACAACUUGAUGAAAAUGAAACAAAAUUUGCAAGCACCGUAAAUAAACUAAAUGGUGAUAUAAGCUAAAAUGAUCUCAGAAGUGCACUUUUACAUAUAUAGAGAUCAGUUUGAUUUCUUCUUCUCAGGAAAAACUGAUACUGAAAUCUAAAGCUUAAAGUUUUUCUAGUGUUGAACCAGAAUACAAUUAGAUGACAUGACAUCUGAGUCAAGGGAACUAUCAAAGUCACAGCUUGAAUCUCAACACCAGUAGAUGCAUAACCAUCUGCCAACAUACGUUUCUAACAGAUAAUAAGGGAAUUAGGUUUAAGACCAAUUGGCUUUGCAAAAAAGAAAGGCGGAGCAAAACUUACUUGGCGAUCGCGUGCAUAGCCGACCAUUUCUCUGAUUAAAAGCGCACUUUCCCCGAUAUAUUUGUCAAUUAUAGCACUUGACACAAUCUGGUUUUUAGACAACACGUCAGUGUAAUGUAAUACUCACAGAAUGAAAAUACCAACCACCAUCAAUCAAGUGAAAACCACAGCUCCAAAAAGUUAGCAUGAAUGUUACUGGAUAUAGCCCUUGAUAGUAAUGGCUUCCCUGUAGAGUAGAACGCACUUGAAAAAGUUAAAGAAACAUACACUGGCUCCCAUAUAUUGAUCUUGUAUUUGACAAGUGGCCGGGCAUCAACAUUGUGCCUGCUGGUGUACCAAUUCAGCUUGUAGCUGCCAGCUAAUCUCCUUCUGAACAGUUAUGCUGUCCUCACUCACGUGCUACGCCUAUUCAAACUUGCUUAAUUUAAUUUGUUACUACUAUGUUAAUGCUGACAUAUUAACUGGCAGACCUCAUGUACUAACAGUAAAUCCCAGCAUACUUUCUUAAUUUGCUACUAUCCGGAUUUAUUCUUUUAGCGAGAGGUCAGGUAUCACUUGGAACAACUGAGUUUCUUUUUAAUCUUUGUGGACACUACACUUGAACGCCACAACCACCUGGAUAUGUCAGGCAGGACGGGCAGCAGCGCAUCAUCAGUAAGUUUAUUUAAGAGAGUAAAAUUCAGUCGCAAUCAGUCAAUCUCAAUCAGGUUCAGAUUUGGACGCGACCUUGAAUAACGAAGCCCCAACUGGGAAGAACAAGGUUGCAAGAACAAGCAGAUUGACGAUGGGUUCAUGGAAGCUUACCAGGCAGGCAGUCCGCCCGGCGGCUUGAGCAAGCUGCUGCUGGUACCCUACGCGCAGUCGCAGUCCGCACCGGCCAGGGCACACGAGCACUGACGCGCGUGCCGCCUGCCGCUUCACCAUGCCCACGUUGUAGUCGCCACCGAUUCACGGCAGGGCAGAGGGGCCUCGACCUCGUCCUCCUCCACAUCAUCAUCGGCGAUGCCCUUCCCCUCCUGACCCCAACACCAUCAUGCCCCCGCCGACUCAUCUCCCUACAGCGACGGCGACUCCGGAGGCUCCGAGACCUGGGACACCGACAUGAGUGGCUCGUCGGCAUCGGAUCUCCUCCACCCNNNNNNNNNNNNNNNNNNNNNNNNNNNNNNNNNNNNNNNNNNNNNNNNNNNNNNNNNNNNNNNNNNNNNNNNNNNNNNNNNNNNNNNNNNNNNNNNNNNNNNNNNNNNNNNNNNNNNNNNNNNNNNNNNNNNNNNNNNNNNNNNNNNNNNNNNNNNNNNNNNNNNNNNNNNNNNNNNNNNNNNNNNNNNNNNNNNNNNNNNNNNNNNNNNNNNNNNNNNNNNNNNNNNNNNNNNNNNNNNNNNNNNNNNNNNNNNNNNNNNNNNNNNNNNNNNNNNNNNNNNNNNNNNNNNNNNNNNNNNNNNNNNNNNNNNNNNNNNNNNNNNNNNNNNNNNNNNNNNNNNNNNNNNNNNNNNNNNNNNNNNNNNNNNNNNNNNNNNNNNNNNNNNNNNNNNNNNNNNNNNNNNNNNNNNNNNNNNNNNNNNNNNNNNNNNNNNNNNNNNNNNNNNNNNNNNNNNNNNNNNNNNNNNNNNNNNNNNNNNNNNNNNNNNNNNNNNNNNNNNNNNNNNNNNNNNNNNNNNNNNNNNNNNNNNNNNNNNNNNGGAGGCUCGAGCUUGGGAAGGGGGGAGGGGAACGAAGGGGUGGGGCUCCAGGCAAUCCUCACCUCCAAAGACAACUUGACCGGCAACACGGGCAGGCUAGACCUCUUCUAUGGCGAGGCCAACUUCGGCGAGGGGACGAGGUGGUGCGGGACCUUGGAGAUAUCUCCCCCGCGCGUGGAGCUUGUCCGGCGACGCCGCUGAAGAUGCCACUGCCACGACCAGCUCGAUCCUCCUUCGCUGGACUCCGAUCUGGACGAGGACUGAGCUAGGAGGAGGGAAGCGGGAGAGGAGAAGGCGCAGGAGAAGCGGCUGAGCCGGCGGCGCAGGGACCAGGGAGAGAAGAAGGCGAACGAAGAGGGGAUUGACAGAGUGGCGAAGAAGCAUGCGGGCUAGGUUUCCUUUUCUUUUUCUCCCAGCACUGCACAGUUGCUUGUCUCGUAGCUUGCCGGCAUGGCUAUGGCGAGGGCUCGCCCUUGAUGCGUAGGUUAAUGUAUUCGACUAGCGGGGCGCCUCUUGAGAGGAAGCUGAGCGGUGCUAGGUGGGACGCGCCCCUUUCCCUUUCCUGCAUAUACUAUGUAAUGUUAUUGCAUCAGAUUUAAAGUAACAUGCUCAGCUAAGUGCAAAGUGUGAUGAAUAAGUGAAACAGAAGGAAGCUGGUACAUUGGUGUAUGCCAAAAACUGAAUAUUAUAACAUAAACACAUGAAGUCAUCGACGUCUAUGGUAUGAAAUGCACAUGCACAAAAUUAGAGUGCACAUGAAGACAGAGCACUAUAGUGUCCUGAGUUGCAAGUCUCUAAGCACUGAAAUGAUCUGCAAUCAUAUGUACAAAGUAACCGAAUAAGAACAAGAAAUUUAGAGUAAAUGAGCUGUAAAAUUGUAAGUAAUGAGCAUUGGAAUUAAGGCAGAGUCAGUGACAGUUGGGUGCACUUGACAGGAAAAUCGGCGAGGCAUAAUAUGAAAUUAGAGUAAAUGAGUGCGUGCACUUCUCUUGGUGGCACCUAAAUGAAAAAAGAAACUAUUCACCUCUCGAUAUAUUCCCUAAGACCAUAUAAAAUCAGGAAGGUACUGAAGAGAGAUGCUCAAAUUCGAAGUUGCCAUGUCUAGGAAUGCUUGAAGCUUCAAAGAUUUCCUAUAAUACAGCAUGCCUCUAACUAUUCACAAUAAGAAAAACAUGUAAAUGCGGAAUCAACCAAAUGAUGGUAAAUUGUAGUUGAUUUUGGCCAAGCAAACGUCAGAUGAAAGAAACAUACAUGAGUGAACAUCACGAUUGGAUGUUUUAUUCAAAUUUAACAGGUUAAACUCACCAAAUACAUCUGGAUAUUUAGUGUUAAACUUCAACAGAUGGUCAGUUGUAGCUAGAUUCACACCACUGAAGCAAAAUUCCAUCUGCCACGGUUACAUCACACCAUCUUUUCAUCGUUACUAUUUAAAUUCCAAAAGCCUGCAACUCAUUUUUUUUGUUACGAUGUAUGCAUGAUUUUUAACUCAAGAGGAAGAGGGGAAACUAAAUCCAAGAAAAGAACACCAAGGAAGCAUCCAAAAUAGAGAAAGGAAAAAUCCAAAAUAGAGGCAGAAUCGAAGGGAAGAAACCCCAUAAAAAAUAGGAGAUCAAACGGUGAAAAAAAUCUAAGAGUCAAACAAUUCCAGGUAAGACCAAAUCGACGGCAAAAUAGCACAAGAGGGACUCACAUUAACAGGUAUACCAAUUCAGAAAGAAGUGUAAAGCAAACAGUGCAAUGGACCACUAGUAUAAAUUGGAUGUACACAAACAUGGGACUUAAACAGGAACUGCGAGAUGCAGGGUUCACGUGCAAACCCAAAAAACGGAAAACUGAAACCCACAACAAGAUUUUAUCUUCAUAUAUAUAUAUAUAUAUAUAUAUAUAUAUAUAUAUAUAUAUAUAUAUAUAUAUAUAUAUAUAUAUAUAUAUAUAUAUAUAUAUNNNNNNNNNNNNNNNNNNNNNNNNNNNNNNNNNNNNNNNNNNNNNNNNNNNNNNNNNNNNNNNNNNNNNNNNNNNNNNNNNNNNNNNNNNNNNNNNNNNNNNNNNNNNNNNNNNNNNNNNNNNNNNNNNNNNNNNNNNNNNNNNNNNNNNNNNNNNNNNNNNNNNNNNNNNNNNNNNNNNNNNNNNNNNNNNNNNNNCCUAUCUAUUAGUUGCUUCUUCCGAAUCCCCACCUAUCAAGCGUUUUCUUUGAAUAAACAAACACAAUAGUAUUCUCUGAAUUAUACUGUACAGUGAUAAUUAACCAAGCGACUGGAAUUAACAAUAUUAUGAGCUAUUGGCUUUUUAGUCAGGUAAAUAUCAUUCUUAAGACUACGGAAAACAGCAGGCGGCGAAGAAAACAUCUAUUGAUGAGAACUAUACACAUACUUAAGAAGGAAGUGACAUCUAUGGUAGCAGAACAUAUAUCAAGCUGUUGCAGCUACAUUAGCAGUUUAGCACAGUCCCUCCAUAAUACACAGGCUAGUGUAAUUUCACAAAUACAAUAAGCUAACAAUAUAUAUUUGGUAGAUGGAAAUGGCUGGAUCAUGACCAAUAUACGAUUACACAUCCGAUGAUGCAAAUAAAGAAACGAGGCCCAACAAUAGUGGAAAAUAAACCACAAUAGAACAUGUAUUUGGCGAAACCUCCAUACUGCAAUAUCAAACAUGAAUUGAAAUUAACAAUCUAGCAAAAAAACAUGACAGAUGCAGUCUUGGUCAUUUUUUCUUUUGUGACAUCCCCUAAAAAAAGUAAAAAGAAUGUUGUUCGUAUUUUACCAGAGAUACACUGAGCUGGGACAAAUCGGUCUGAAAUAAAAUAUGAUGGCUUCGGAGGAUUCGGAAGGCAAGAAAUUUGCUUUCUUCCAACAUAUAUGGUCUGCUGAACUAAACUUUGUUUCAGCGAGCUUUGGCAAAAAUCUGUAACUGCAAACAUCAAACUUGUGUGCCCUUCCUACAUCAAACUUUAAACCUGACGGAUUAAAUAUUUUAGGUUAGGCUGAGAUCAGUGUACUUUAUGAGUGUUAAGUGUACUUUCUAAAUAGCAGAGAAACCAUAACAUCUAAGCACAACCCAGCAACUUGUACAAGCUAACAUCAAAUCUGAAAGAGGAAAUGUCGAGAACAGGUGAAGGUACCAUGAUCCAUGACUGAGCAAAGUUAUCUAUAAUCCUCGGUGAAUAUCAUAAAUUAGGAUCAACAAAGCUGAAGAACAAACGGGAAAGGAACCUAGAAAGAUCUUCUGCCGGUAGAAUAUAACUGAUACACUAUCCUCAUUCUCGAGAUCAAGGUCGUUUCUUGAAUUGCAGUUUCCUCACUGUAGUAUGGGGUCAUUACACUGCGAAGAACAAAGUGUCAUAUGAAUCAUUUAGAGCCCAAUCUUUUUCACUGAAACUCUUAUGAUCACAUAACGAAUUUAAACAUAAGGUUUAUUAGAUAUUUGUUGUUGUGAACUGAUAAUAUAUUUCUGGUGUUGACAAUGUUUUGAUUAUGGAUGCACUUCAAGAUGGGUGGCACAGAUUCUGUUGUACAGGCCUCCACCUGGAAUUUCAUCACUUGUUAUUUUUGUUUAGAAUGUCUAGGUGCAUUUUUCCUUUAAGGUGGAAACAGAUGUACUUGUAUAAGCAACAAGAAUACAAAGCGCCACUGCCAUACAUUGUGGAAGUUCAAUGCUUCUGUUUACAAAAUCUGCUUCCCAAAACAGAAGGAUUUAUAAUUUUUUAUUACAAUCAAGCGGACAUGAGCUGAUGAGUACAGAUGUAAACAUGUACUGAGAGCAGCACCCUUUCAAAAGUGGAUCAUUUACAAGUUGGAUAGUUUGAUGGUCUGAAAUUAGUGGUCGUGUUUCAGAAUUGUUAUCGAAUAGUAGAGGAUAUAUAUUAACUUCUGAAAUUAGUGGCUGUUUGUCAGAACUGUUAUCGAAUAACAGAGCACAUAUAUUAACUUCAAUAAGUGGAGUAAUAUCUUUGGAUUCGCUGUGAGGAAAGAUUACCAAAACAAAACAGAAGUGAGUGCGACGACCCAGAUGAGGGCGCUCUUGAGCCUCUUCCCGACCGACCUAGAUGCAGGAGCAGAACACCGCGGAUCUAAUCAGCCAACGAAUAAAGCCGAGGCAGGUAGAGGAAGUAAGGGAGGAAGAAGACUGACUUGUCCUGGUCGCCCUCGUAGUAGAAUAUGGUGAACGGGAUGACGAGGAAGACGAGGACAGCGUCGAGGAUGUAGACGACGAGCCAGAGCGUCUUCAUGGGCAGGAUAAGGGCGCAGGCCCCGUUGUAGGCGGCGUGCUUGCAGGUCUGGCGGUUGGCGACGUCAGCGGGGAGCAUGAGGAUGGAGAGGACGGCGACGGUGAUGCCGAGCACGACGACGAGCUUGGGGAAGUAGGCCUGGUUGGCAUCAUCCGGGUGCUGGUAGUUGACGAGCAUGUAGACGCUGACGAGGAGCACCAGGAUGCUGACCACCGCCGCCACGAUCACUAGCGCCACGUUAAAAACCCCAUCUCCUCGGGGCUCCGGUCCCGGUUCCGGCCCGCCGCCUCGCCCCCGUUGGUCGGUCAGAUCUCUCUGUCCCUAGAGGCGGGGGGAUACAGGCUAGGGUUUGGGCGUGGGCGGGGAAUAGGCUGCUAUGGUGUCGGCAGCGGGGCGGCCACCGGCGGGGAGGGCGGGAUCCGCGCGGGGUGGCGGGAUUUGGGCAGGCGGUGGGCUCGGGGGAGGGCGGUGGCAGCGAAGCAGCAGGGAGGGGCUGGAGGAGAUGAAACGAAAGAGGUCGCGUGACACAGCGACAGCGUCGUCCAAUCCCCUCGCUGCCGAUUUAAAAAAAGGUAAUGAUAACUCCCGAACGUUCAGGAGUUAAGCAUGGCAACCCGAACGGGUUUAGAUGGCAAGUUUAGUUUGCGUGAGAUUAGAGAAACAUGGCAAUUUUCUGACAAAAGAAAUGAAAAAGGACGAAGUUGCCAUCCCCUAUCAACUAAAGUUGCCAUCCCUAUGAACUAAAGUUGCCAUGUAAAAACGUUCGGGAUGAAAUGCUCAAAAUCCGAACGUUCGGAAGUUAUUGGAUUCAAAAAAAAUCCCCUUGCUGCCAAUCGCUGGCCCGUUUCUUUUUUCGCCCAAUCGCUAGGUGAUGACGUGGCUAUCACGGGAAGGCGCCCUUGAUGCGUAGUCGAAUGGUUUUAAUUAAUAGGAAGCGAGUGCUUACUCUAGUUACUGAAUUAUGUACACCAAAUAAAGCCAUUUACACGUAGUUAAUGACAAAAAAAGUUGAUGUUUGCUACGCAAACGUGUAGUACAAAUUAAGAAGUGCAAGAUAAAAAAAAAUGCUGGUCCUUGAUUCGUUGUUGAUCGUCAGCAUGCCAUCAUCAAUUUGUAGUUAAUUAUCAUACAAAUUGGCUCUUUCAUAGAGUUGGAGGCUAGCUCCUUUGAUCAGCACGCGCUUAAACAUAAACAGCACGUAUAUGUUUUGUCUCCGGAGUUCAAUUCUUCAUCGGCCAGCAAAAAUGGCCCGACCGGGUAGAGGAAAAGGCAUGUUUGUUAGUACGCCUGGAGGAAAUGCCUUUGAUUAGGGCAUCUUCAACAGCGACCAGUAAAUUUCCUCCCGCGUUCGUCCACGGAUAGGGGAUCAGUCCGCGGAUACGGAUACAGGAAUCAUCUAUCUAACGCUGUCCGCGUAUAUUUCAAACACAUUUUUUUUAAAAAAAUAGGAUGAAAUUCAUGCAAACACAAUGGAUUUCAUACAAACCGGACAAAAAUGUUUACAUUUUGGACAUAUUUUUUUUACUAAAAACUCUACAGCCGGCGCCGGCGAAUAUCCACUCCGGCGACAUGGAACCCUUGACUAGUCUACUGCCGGCCGCAGCGGAUCUCCAAUGUCGUCCCCAUGUCCGGCAACUAUGAGCCCUAGAGGUAUAUGCUUCAGCGCAAAGAGCGGCUCGCCUCCCUACCGCUCAUCGGAGUGGAACAACCAGCUGAUGCUUCUGCCGAUGGAAAGGGUCCCUACGCUACACGGAUUAGAGUUGGUUUUGGGCUGGGAACGGCGGUGGCCUGCCAGAGGGCAAGACACCGACUGUGUAUGCUGGUGUCACCUGGUGUGGCAUUCGUGGGACCCAAGCGGCAGCGCCUCCUCGAUGAUGGCGGCGAGCGCGGACGUGUUGGACACCACCUCGUCGAUGUCCGUGCAGCCCGCUUCUUUCUCUGUAGGAAGGACGCGGUUACGCUCGCGUUGACAUCGGAUGACUCGGUCACAUGCACGGGAGGGGCGGUACGACAUGGCACCGCCAAUGGCAGCCAUGAUGCCCGCGCCAGCGUGCUCUCUCCCAGUGCCGACCUAGAGCAACUUGCCACUCCUCUGCUCGUGAACGGUGGGCUUGACGGGCCACCUAGCCAUUUUUUAUGCCAGACAACUCUUCUUCCUGCUCGUCAGAUGUCAUGGAUAAAACUGUUUAAGGAGGAAAAUGAUGAGUAGACGUGUGAUGCGGUUCUUGCCCAACAUCUGACAUUGUUUAAAUAGCGAGGGGACACGAGAGGAGCCAACUGGCGUUCUGUUUAAUGCCAACCGGCUCGCGAACGAACAUGUGGCUGGAGUAAUUAUCCUGGCACACACGCGGGUUUAAUGGUGGAAGGUGGGCAGUCUGCAGGAAUGAGGCGAGGAUGUGUGCUUAGCCGGCGUGCAGCAGGCGGCGCCCUCGGCCGGCGUGCUGCAUCCAUUGCGGAGGCAGUGAGAGGUCGCGUCCGCUCUGCAGCGCAUGAAUGCGGGCAGCUGGCGCAGAGCGGGAACGCGUGCGGGCGAGGGAGGAGGGGGUUUGGGCGGGUGGUCAGAAGAGGUCGUGGGUGUUGUCCGAACGCCUGCAAAGCCCCCCUCCAUGUUUGUCUCCAGUUUGCGGGAGAAAGUAUGUCCGAACCGUCUCCAAUGGACCAAUACAGGCCCGCAUUGGAUGGCACAACACGUCCGGACCAUGUGGUCCGGAUGGUUGUGGACAGUUUAAUUGAGGGUCGGCGUUGGAGAUACCUUAGAGUUUAUGAAUCCAUUGUGUUUUUCUAAUCAUAAAAAAGCACUUACAAUAAGUUAUAAGGAAAGACACGUUUAUAUGUUAGGUUCAGACUCCAGCUUUCGUUUUACAUAUGCUUUAUUCAUCCGACUGAUUCCAAUAGAGUGAGCCUAGCGUUGUUUUUCUGGAAACUCGCGGGAUAAGGAGACAUGCAUACACAUUCUUUCAAGCAAAUCACAUCCAUCCUUUUUAACUCAUUUUUCUUCUUUUAAUAAUAUAAUAGAUCAUUUAUAUUUUUAUCUGAAACAGUUGACGUGUAAUUUAUAUUGUAAUCUGAGGAUAAUGUUUGGAUUUUACUUUCAAAUAUAUUUGAAAUGGCCAUGAUGGAAUCACAUCCAUUUAUUUUAUUAUUAUUUGAAUUUGAUCCAAAAGAUAAAUAAUGAGUAGAGGUCAUGUCAACUUUUCUGAGAACUUUGCUAAUCAAAAUAUAAUUGUAUUUAAAAACAUCUAUUUUUUAGCACGCAUGAAAAAGAUAACACGUAUCUUUUCACACAUAAUGAACGGUUGUCAUAAGAACUCAUGCCAUGCCACAACCUCCCUCCGACCCUGCCAACAUUGUUGCAGCUGCACUCGCAAGCCUUAGCGUAGAUGAUAAUUUAUACAAUUUGCGUAAAACAAAAUAAGAUCUACAAAUGAAUAGAAGCUAGAACGUACAUUGGCAUGCACACACAUUGCAAGCCAUACUAAGCUGAUAAGUGUUAAUAACUUGUACAACAUAUACAACACUUAAGACAAGUAAAAGCAAUUUGAUGAGUCAUGGUCUAUCAAAGCCACAUUACUAGUCUAAUCCAUCUUAACAGGUCACACAUGAUUAAAAUCUUGUUUGUGUGCAAGUCAAGCUUAUCUAGUUUACAUGUAACAACUUGUAGAACAUUACAAAAUUUAUGUUUGCUAAUAACUUCUAGAACACUACAACACUUGACAUGUAAAAGGAAUUUGAUGAGUUAGCGUACUAAAGCAAGUUAUAUUACUAGUCUUAUCUACCUUAACAGGCCACACAAGAUUACAAACCAAGUUCUGUGCCAGCCAUGCUUAUCUAGAUUAUGCGUAACAAUUUGCAGAAAAUUACAAACUUAGUUUCAGAAAAAUAGGCAAUCUAGAUUAGUGUUUGAGCUGUAAAGUGAGUAAAAUGAGUCAUGCGUGUUAUCACACCUUUUUGGUUGUGGAAUGAUAGUGCAACAACAAGGAACUUUAAUGACCAGUUCAAGAAUACACUUGUAAGUAGUGCCACCGAACACAACAUACCAAAUUAUGAUUUUGAGAAGCAUCCAAGCACUUCCACACAAGCAAAUGCCAAUUGUGAAAGAGAUCAUGCCAUGGCAGCUAUAAAUAGGCCCGUAGCAUGACGAUCAUCCUUCCUCAUCCAUCAUUCUCAUAAGUAGAGCGCAUCAUUUAAGCCAAGCAAGCAGUGCUCAAUACAAAUCCACCAUGAAGACCUUUCUCAUCCUUGCCCUCCUUGCUAUUGUAGCAACCACCGCCACAAUUGCAGUUAGAGUUCCAGUGCCACAAUUGCAGCCACAAAAUCCAUCUCAGCAACAACCACAAGAGCAAGUUCCAUUGGUACAACAACAACAAUUUCCAGGGCAGCAACAACCAUUUCCACCACAACAGCCAUAUCCGCAGCCGCAACCAUUUCCAUCACAACAACCAUAUCUGCAGCUGCAACCAUUUCCGCAGCCGCAACUACCAUAUCCGCAGCCGCAACUACCAUAUCCGCAGCCGCAACCAUUUCGACCACAACAACCAUAUCCACAACCGCAACCACAGUAUUCGCAACCACAACAACCAAUUUCGCAGCAGCAGCAGCAGCAGCAACAACAACAACAACAAAAACAACAACAACAACAACAACAACAGAUCCUUCAACAAAUUUUGCAACAACAACUGAUUCCAUGCAGGGAUGUUGUAUUGCAACAACACAGCAUAGCGUAUGGAAGCUCACAAGUUUUGCAACAAAGUACUUACCAGCUGGUGCAACAAUUGUGUUGUCAGCAGCUGUGGCAGAUCCCCGAGCAGUCGCGGUGCCAAGCCAUCCACAAUGUUGUUCAUGCUAUUAUUCUGCAUCAACAGCAACAACAACAACAACAACAACAACAACCGUUGAGCCAGGUCUCCUUCCAACAGCCUCAACAACAAUAACCAUCAGGCCAGGGCUCCUUCCAGCCAUCUCAGCAAAACCCACAGGCCCAGGGCUCUGUCCAGCCUCAACAACUGCCCCAGUUUGAGGAAAUAAGGAACCUAGCGCUAGAGACGCUACCUGCAAUGUGCAAUGUCUAUAUCCCUCCAUAUUGCACCAUUGCUCCAGUUGGCAUCUUCGGUACUAACUGAGAAGAGAAGAACUCUAGUAGUAGAUAUAUGAUACACCGUUUUCUUAGUCCAUGGUUUGGUCGUUGUAGCGGUGAAAAAAUAAAGUGACAUGCACUAUCAUGUAAGAACCCGAACUAUACUAGUUCAAACAUGGGAAUAAAAGACAAACACAUGUCUUGUCUACAUAUGAUUGUUUGUUUGAGUUCCACUCAUGUGCCCACUCACAAGUUCACCCCUAAUUAUAUAUAUUAUGCAUUAAGUAGAUAUUUAUGUUGCAUUAAUCUAAAGAUAACAAAAUGAGUCUGAAAUUUGAAUUAAAUUGAAGUAUUUCCUUGGACUUUCAAAUGGAGUAUUAUUAAAGUAGUAAGGACUAUCCACAUCCUUGGCUUGCCCUUGAUCAAUUAUUUCCAGAGAAGCAUUCAAUUCAUUAAUCAAUUACAUUGAUUUUUGUGGCUGAUACUUUUCCUCAACAUGAGUAUAUUCAUCGCGGCUACUCCAAAUAGGCAUGAAUGAGGUACCGGUGCUCUGGAGCACUGGUACCUAACUGCUUCUCAUGUGAAGGGGUGGGGGUGCGGGAGAGGUGUUUUUGGUGGGCCAGGGGAGUAAGAAGCGGCCGUGGCAGCGGUCCAGACACCCACAAAGCCCCGUAGUUUGUUUUUGGUUUACAGGAAAAUGCACAUCCAGACCGGCCUGCGGGCCGAUAUAGGACCGUAUUGAAUGGCAAAACAUGUCCGGAUGGUUGCGAGCGGUUUAAGGGUUAGCUUUUGUAACGGCCGGUUAGUUAUGCUAUGGUAAUUCCCUGCUAAUGAUGUCACGUCAGCACGAUUACUGUUGUUAACCUCACAAUGAUUCAAUCCCAUUCAAAUUCAAAUUUAAAAUAAAGGCAAACAUCAAAAGUUUCAAACAUUAAAACUAAAAUCUUCGAGAGGUGAAAAAUAAUGCAUAAGUAAUUAUGGUGGAGAAACCACACUUUUAUAAAAUGUUUAAAUACUCUAAAAAUAAUAAAACAGUGGCUUAAACUAUUAUUUAAAUGCUUUUAAAAUAGUAAAAAUGUUCUAACUAAAUUAAUUGGGUACCAAACUUUUGGUGGCAGUGGUAUAUUUAGUAGAACUAAUUUAGAUGCUAAUAAAACAUAAAAGGAAAGACAAAACAAAUAAAAGUAAAAGGGGGCAACCCCUCGCUGGGCCUCGGCCAAGCUGGCCACUGGGCUAGCUAGGUUGGCCCAACCGCCUCCCUUAACCCCCCACUCCCCAUCGAACCCUAGACCGAUCGCCCCACUUCCCCACACCCCCUCGUCAGCCUCCCCACCUCUCGAUCCCAUCUGGAUCGGGGAGGGGAUCGCCCCCAUCGACCCCGUCGCGGUCGCUGGAUCGCCCGCUCGCCCAUCGCCCGCCGGCGUCGCCGGACCUCCUCCCCGUCGCACGUCUCCGGCUCUCCUCCCCUCUCGCUCCUCUUCCCCGACCCGAUCUGGAUCGGGAAGGGCCAAUGAGCCCAACGCCCCCCUCCAUCGACGCUGUGCUCCAGCACCGCCGCCCGAAGACCUCGCCAUCGCCGGACCUCGCGUCGCCUCCUCGUAUCCCUCCCCGACUCGCCUCCUCAAGCCACGCCGACCCCCUUCUCGGCAACGCUGUGAGCCGCCUCCGUUUCCCUCCUUCUCUUUCCACCGUGUUCACCGCGCCGCCUGCCGUGCCCCUCGCCGCGCGCACGCCCACCACCGCGCCAGCCCCCGCUCCGCGCCCUCUCCUGCACGCUUGUGCGCGCAUGACCCUAGCCGCGCCCACGCCGUGAUCCCCUUGUCCCGCCCGCCUUCGUCCCGCGCUCGCCGCGGCCCCCAUGCUCCCCUGCGCCCUCUUUUGGGGUCGUCGGCUGCCCCUGUCCCGCAGCUCGCUGGCAUGCGUCCCCGCC
rnacentral:lncRNA from 1 species